rnacentral:lncRNA from 1 species
UAAUUUGGAGGGGGGAAAACAAAAAUCCGAGUGAUAAUUUCCAAAUCUCUCACUCUCUUAAGCUCUAAGACAGAGAUGGCGCAAGUUAGCAUUUGCAGAGCUGUGGCUUUGGUUCUCUUCAUUGCAGCGCUUCUUUCAAUGACAGCUGUCGUCAGUGCACGGGAUGUCGACCUGGCGCCGUCGCCGAGCAUGGACGCCGGAGCUGCGUUCCCAGUGACUGUUUCCGCUGGCUUUGUUUGCUCCUCACUCUUCUUCUCGGUCAUUGCUCUACUAUUGCAGUAAUAGGUUCUCGAGAGACUCAGAUUUUAUAUUAUUUUAUAUUUUAUUUUUAUUAUUAGGAUAUUUAUUAUUUUUGAAAAUUUUGGUUAUUUUUUUUUUAAUUGCUAUUUGGUGGGAGUGCAUGUGUUUGAGUUGCUGAGAGUGAGAAUGUAUUAGUUUUAAUAAUGCAAUUAUUUUUCCCCUAAUCUUUGGUUAGGGUUGUUUUUUCUUUUUAUUUUUUUUUAAUGGUCUUGAUAUUAUGUUCUAUUUUAACUAUAAAAAUUGGUAUUAUUAUUUAUCAUCUUGCAUGAGUUGCAUCUCUCUUUAAUAUUCAUCGGGCUUUAAACUUAAAAACUCCCAGAGAUCAUUUCUAUUAUAAGUAUUGUUAAUUUUAAGUAUAUUUAGUACAAAACUAGAUGAAUGAAAUUGACUUUUAAAUAAGAAAAAAAAAUCUAUUUGGGUGGUUAAAAUCUAAUAAAGUUAAUUGAAAAUCUAUUGCAAAUUAAUAAUUCAAAAUCCGUGUCAUUAUUUUAAGCAAAAAAAAAAUUCUCAAGAAAAACUGACUUUAAAUAAGAAAAAAAAUCGAUUUAGGUGGUUAAAAUCUAAUAAAGUUAAUUGAAAAUCUAUUGCAAAUUAAUAAUUCAAAAUCCGUGUCAUUAUUUUAAGCAAAAAAAUUCUCAAGAAAAAUUGAACUGGGGAUAGUUUUAUGUAGUUUCGUACUUUCAAUUUCAAAUGGGCCGGUUUAAUAAUUAGACCAUCUAAUUAAAUCAUCAAUCUUGAAAUUCAUUUUUUUUUCCUCGCAUACUUUAUAUUAAUCAACAUAUAUAAAAAAUUUAAUAGAAACACGAUGCUUUUCCAAAAUCCUAAUGGCAUCCGAAGUCUUCGUCUUGAUUUGAAUUCUCAACCAUUCGCAAAUGCAUAUUGAAUCGCCUUAGGAAUUUGCAAAACCUGUGAGGUUGAUACAAAUUAAUUAACAAAUCUUGGUUUCCAGACAAUUGAUUUUAAUCAGUUUCCAACUCUUUUCAUUAUCUUCUGAAAGCAAACACAAGCAAGUUUAGAGUGCUUGUGUUAAUUAAUUUGGCACUUAAAAAUUAAGAAAAAAAAAAAGACUAUUCUGGAUUAAACUUGGAAAGAAAAUUUGGAAUACAAGUUCUUAAUUUUCCACAAGAAUAUAAUACUGAAAUGUAAUUCUCAAACAAUUGCUGUCGGUGGUCUCUAGCUCGUUUUAGACGUUUAGAUUUUGUUAGAACUUGUAGAAGGACAAUGACUUGUCAUGAAUAGAAGACCAUUUAUUUAUACAUGGAAUUAUGGAUUAAUAAAAAAUAAUUUUUAUUGAUUAUUUUAUUAUUUGAUUAUAUAUAUUGCCAGAAUGACACCAAUUGAAAGCUUAGGUAGAAAAUGACGAAACAAACGUAAAUAAUAAUAAUAAUAAUAAUAAUAAUAAUAGUAGUAUUUAUUUUUAUUUUUUUUGUGGAUGAUUGAUACCAAUUAUAUAACUUAGAAUAAAAAAAUUGAAUGAAUUUAAAAUUUAUAUUACUUUUGAUAACAAGAUAAAUAUAAAUAGAUGACUAAUAGUUUUUCUACAAUUAAUCCUAAUUCUCCAUUUUUGAAUUUGGGCGGCCAACAAAUAAAAUUAUUUGAAAACUACUCUACCCUGAGAGUUGCUAACCACCAGAAAAAUUAACAAAAAAGAAAUUUAAUUGAGGACAAUGAAAUAUCUAAACAAUAUUGUACACAAAUCAAACUCCCUCUGAAGGCCAGAGAAGACCUUGACUCACUAUUGUGUUUGAAAACGAGUGUUGCUAUUCAACGCGGGAAGAAGAUGAUUAUGGGCCUGCUCAUGGUGUCCUUUUCCUGGGUUAAAGUGUCUGUAUGAACUUUAUAACAACUUGGAGAAUCCAAUCAACCGAAAAGUUAAUUAUAAGCAUGGAUCCGGCAUCCUCCAUUUUCAGAUUGGCGGCCCUUGUAUGGGUUGUAAUAUUUACUUGCGAUAACGUUGCUGUUAGAACUGUUACAUUUGUGACGGCAUCUGCUUUGUCACCCAUACAGUUAGAAAAGAAAGCUUUAAUCAAUACUGGCUGGUGGAACAGCAGCUUCUGGACGACGGACCAUUGCAAGUGGGAAGGCAUCACUUGCAAUUCAGCAGGAAGCAUAUUCGAGCUAUACUUAUCAGGGUAUUAUGCUGGCUUCAAUUGGCGGCUUAGCCAAUUAAACUUCUCUUGCUUUCCGAACCUCGUAAAGCUGACAAUCCAGUUCUUUGCUCUUACUGGAAGCAUACCACCAGAAAUUAGUGCUCUUUCAAAACUCCAACUGCUGGACUUGUCCUCGAACGGGCUUACAGGUAACAUACGAACUUAACUUCAUUACCGCAUAUUAUUUGAGCAAUCAUAUUUAAAUGGAUUAAGUUUGAGAGAAUACUGACAAAAACAAAGGUAAACCAGCCCUAUUUUAUCAUAUUAAUUGAAAAAAUAAUAAUAAUAAUUAACACGGUAGACACACCUGUUUACACCAUUGUUUUUAUUUAUGCUCUAUCAACGUUUAAUUUCUUCAACAUUUUUUUUCAUUAUUUUCGUAGACUAAUAACAUAAAUGUAUAUAAUAGGUACAAUCCCUCCAGAAAUUGGGAACCUGAAGAAUUUGAUCGAGUUGAAUGUGGGCAGUAACAGCCUAAUUGGGCCUAUUCCUUCAGCUCUAGGGAGUUUGACCAAUCUGAGCAAUUUGGAUCUUUCCUCUAACAAACUUUCUGGAAAAAUUCCUCCAGAGAUAGCAGGUAUGAAGAAUCUAACCUGGUUGGACCUAUCAAAUAACAACAUAAAAGGUUCAAUUCCCGGUGAGAUCACCGAAUUAUCUCGACUUGAUUAUCUAGAUCUUUCCUCUAACAAACUUUCUGGCCAAGUACCGUUUUCAAAUGAACAACUCUCAAGCGUGUAUAUAGUAAGACUCUCUCCUAACAAGGGUUUAUGCGGCGGCAAUUUUCUUGAUCUUCCCUCAUGCGAUACAACCAAACCUGCCACUCUCUUUGUUGAAAUUUUUCUUCCCCUCGCCAUAGUCCUCUCAGUCAUAGUCUUUGCAUGCUUACUACUUGCUAAACGUAAGUACAAGAAACCCAAACUCGAGGAAAGAGCAACCAAUAACAUAGAUGUAUUUUCAAUAUGGAAUUAUGAUGGUAGAAUUGUCUACGAGGAUCUGAUUGAAGCCACGGAAGAUUUUCACAUUAAAUAAUGCAUUGGUACCGGAGGCUAUGGCAGCGUCUACAAGGCACAGCUUCCCAACGGCAAAGUAUUUGCACUGAAAAAGCUUCACACUUCAGAAACAGAGGAAUUGGCGUUCAUCAAGAGUUUCCGAAACGAGGCUCAAGUGCUUUCUCAAGUACUGCACCGUAAUAUUGUCAAAUUAUACGGUUUUUGCUUGCACAGAAAAUGCAUGUUUCUCAUUUACGAGUACAUGGAGAGAGGAAGCUUGUUCUGCAAUUUACACAUUGAUGAGGACGCUGUGGAGUUGGAUUGGGCUAAGAGGGUGAACAUUGUAAAAGCCAUGGCACAUGCUUUGGCUUACUUGCAUCAUGACUGCUCACCAUCAAUUGUUCACCGCGACAUAUCGAGCAACAACAUUCUACUUAACUCAAAAUUGGAGGCAUUUGUUGCUGACUUUGGCACUGCCAGGCUUCUACAUGCCCCGAUUCGUCCAAUCGAACUCUAUUAGCAGGAACAUAUGGAUAUAUAGCUCCAGGUUUACCCUUAUGAUAUCUAUUAUUCUCACGAUCGAUCCUUUAUUUGGUUCAAUUUUAUUUUAUUUUGCUUUAUAUUGCAGUCAUAUCCCAUAACAUCUCUCUUAAAUAGAUAGCCAGCUGGCUAGAGAAACUCACAAAUGAAAUUAUCUCUUUUAUUAGCGGGAAGCUACAUUCUAUGAUUACAUUUUUUUGUUUUGGGCAGAACUUGCCUACACCAUGGUUAUGACGGAGAAAUGUGAUGUUUAUAGCUUUGGAGUGGUGACACUUGAAGUAUUAAUGGGAAAGCAUCCAAGGGACCUUCUUUCGUCAUUAUCAUCAUCAUCUGAUCCAAAAAUCAUGUUGAUUGAUGUUUUAGACCAACGUCCUCCACCUCCAGUUGAUCGAAAGGUUAUUCGAGAUAUCCUUCUUGCUUCAACAAUUUCAUUUGCAUGCUUGCAAUCGAACCCAAAGUCUCGACCUACGAUGCAAUAUGUGUCUCAAGAAUUUCUCAUCACUCGCAAGACUCCAUUGGUAAAGCAUGCUGCUAUUCAAGAUAUUUCCAUCUCAGAACUUAGAAACUAAUAAAAGGAUGUAUUUGAUUGAUCAAUGUGAUUUGCUAAUCUUAAAUGUAUUUCAUUGAUGGUAUUUUGUAAAACUUUGGUGAGGGUGAAUUUUGGUGAAAUUGGUGUUUCCAAUCUAAACGAUUACAUCUUUAAUUAUUGUUUCUGAGUGAAUUGCAUGUGCAAAUAAGGUCAGCAAGUUUUGUUAUUCUGCUUAGGAAACCUUCUUCCAUCCGCAUUAUUUUUAUAAAUUAAUAUCGUGUGCAAUAUCUGCCUCUCGUUAUUAUCUUUCAACCGCACAAAUAAAUAAUCAUAAUAAUAGCAAUAAUUAUUGUAACUCAUGAGUUGUCCGAACAGUAAAUCAAAGUUGGAAUAUUUCCAUAUUGUGGCAUGACAUGGGCUUUUCUUCUCAAUCAAAUUUUAACAAAUUUUGGAUUCUCUAUUUUCACUAUUUAAUUGAGUAGACUGCAGUAUGAAUGUAGACAAAUCGUUAGCCUUACUUCACAGAAGUUUCAUUGCAAGUCGUUUUGCAUUGGCGCAUAAGAGUGAUCAAUUGAAUAGGAACGGCAAUGUUGAAGUUGAUAUGAUAAAAGCGAAAAUGACUAGAUAUUCCGCAAAGUCUAAAAUUCAAGAAAUUGAAGCACCAAUCAAGUGAUCAAAUUCUCUCAUGUAAUUAAUUAUCAUCAAUUGGCUUGAAGGUCGUCAAGAAGGCAGUGGGUUGACAAAUUAAAUUAAAUUGUUCUUUCAUAAAUGGUAAAUAAAUAUAAUCAAUCAAAGACCUAGGUCAUAUUUGGUAUUAAGGUAUUGUAAUUUCUAAGUUAUAACUACUUUGGAACAAAAAUGUAAUUAUAAAAUAAAAGCUGAGAAUGUAUAAUCAAUAUAACUUUUAACUAAUAUUUUUGCCAAAAAUAAUAAAGAUAUUAUAGGUUUCUCAUCUUACAAGUGUGAGAUCAAAUCAACUUAACUUUUAUACCACAAUUGGCAGUACUUGGUAUUAAUUUAUUGACUAUCUUGAGUCAAUAAAUUAAGGACAAUGACUAUCUUGAGUCAUGAAUAAAAGACCAUUUAUUUAUACUAAUAAAAAUCUGUGUGGCUCCAAAACCAAUUUUUACUGAUUACUUGAUUAUUUUUAUUCCCAGAAUGACACAAAUUACAAAUUUAUAGGGUAGAAAAUAACAAAACAAAAGUAAAAAAAAAAAAUUAUAGUACUAGUUAUUUUACAAGGGUAAUUCUAUCAAUUUGAUUGAUGACUGAUACAAUAAACUUAAGGUGAAAAAUUAAACAAAUUUAAAUUUUUAAAGUAUUUUUUAUAAUAAAGUAAACUUAAGAUGGAUAACCUAUAAUUUCCAUAUCAUUAUUUGUCCAAAUCCUCCAUUUAGACUAGCCAAAUGAAGUUAUUUGGAAGCUACUCUACCAGGCCCCAAGUUUACUAGUAAACGUGUGAUUGCCAGUCACUAAUAAAAAGAGAAAAAUAACAAAAAAAGCAAUGUUAUUGAGGAUAACCAAAAUAUAUGUGUAGAUUUACACCAAUCAUAUGCAGAAACCAAAUUCCCUCAAAAGUCUAAAAGGCCAUAGAAUACCUUGACUCGCUAUUGUGAUUGAAAAACGUGUGUGGCGAUUAAUGUACGGGCGGAGGAUUUAACGCGGGAAGAAAAAUAGAAGACGACUAUGAGUCUGCUCAUGGUGUCCUUUUCCAGGGUUAAAAUGUUUAUAUAAACUUUGUAAGAGCUUCAUGAAUCCAAUAGCUCCAUCAACCGAAAAGUUAAUUAUAAGCAUGGAUCCGGCAUCCUCCAUUUUCAGAUUGGCGGCCCUUGUAUGGGUUGUAAUUUUUACUUGUGAUAACGUUGCUGCUAGAACUGGUACAUUUGUGACAGCAUCUGCUUUGUCACCCUUACAGUUAGAAGCGAAAGCUUUACUCAAUACUGGCUGGUGGGACAGCAGCUUCUGGACGGCCAACUACUCUUCGGAUCAUUGCAAGUGGAUUGGAUUCACUUGCAAUUCAGCUGGAAGCAUAAUCGGGCUACACUUAUCAAGGGAUUAUGGUAGCUUCGAGGAACCGGUACAGCUUAGCCAAUUAAACUUUUCUUGCUUUCCGAACCUCGAAAAUCUGACAUUCCAGUCCUUUCCUCUUGCUGGAAGCAUACCACCAGAAAUUAGUGCUCUUUCAAAACUCCAACGGCUGGACUUGUCCUCGAACAGGCUUACAGGUAACAUACGAAAUUAACUUCACUACCGCAUAUUAUUUGAGCAAUGAUAUUUAAAUGGAUAAGUUUGAGAGAAUACUGACAAAAACAAAGGUAAACCUGGCCUAUUUUAUCAUAUUAAUUGAAAAAAAAAUAAUUAACAUGGUAAAAACACAUUUCUACCAUUGUUCCUAUUAAUAUCAACGUUUAAUUUCUUUAAUUCUUUUUUUUGGUUAUUUUCGUAAAUGGAUAACGUAAAUGUAUAACAGGUAGUAUCCCUUCAGAGAUUGGGAAUUUGAGGAAUCUUGUCUAUCUAAAUAUUUCUAAAAACAUCCUUACUGGAACUGUUCCUUCAACUCUUGGUAGUUUAACCAACUUGAAAAAUAUGGGCCUUUCUUACAACCAGCUCAGUGGUCCGCUACCUCAGGAAAUUGGGAACCUGAAGAAUCUAAUGGAGUUGGACUUGGGCACUAAUAGCCUAAUUGGGCCUAUUCCUUCAACUCUUGGUCGCUUAACCAAUUUGAAUUAUAUGAGCCUCUCUCGCAACAUGUUCGGUGGUCUACUACCUCAGGAAAUUGGGAACCUGAAGAAUUUGAUCGAGUUGAAUGUGGGCAGUAACAGCCUAAUUGGGCCGAUUCCUUCAACUCUAGGUCUUUUGACCGAUUUGAGCUAUUUGGAUCUUAGUUGUAACCAAUUCAGCAGCUCAAUUCCAAAUGAUACAACCAAACUUCUGGUAGAAAUGUGUUUUUACCAGAAGUGAUACAACCAAGUGAUACAACCAAACUUCUGGUUCUCUUUAUUGAAAUUUUUUUUCCCAUCACCGUAGUCAUAAUCUUUGCACGCUUGCUACUUGUUAAACGUAAGUACAAGAAACCCGAACUCAAGGAAAGAGCAACCAAUAGCAUAGAUGUAUUUUCAGUAUGGAAUUAUGAUGGUAGGAUUGUCUACGAGGAUCUGAUUAGAGCCACGGAAGAUUUUGACAUUAGAUAUUGCAUUGGUACCGGAGGCUAUGGCAGCGUCUACAAGGCACAGCUUCCCAACGGCAAAGUAUUUGCACUGAAAAAGCUUCACACUUCAGAAACAGAGGAAUUGGCAUUCAUCAAGAGUUUCCGAAACGAGGCUCAAGUACUUUCUCAAGUACUGCACCGUAAUAUUGUCAAAUUAUACGGUUUUUGCUUGCACAGAAAAUGCAUGUUUCUCAUUUACGAGUACAUGGAGGGAGGAAGCUUGUUCUGCAAUUUACACAAUAAUGAAGAAGCCGUAGAGUUGGAUUGGGCUAAGAGGGUGAACAUUGUAAAAGCCAUGGCACAUGCUUUGGCUUACUUGCAUCAUGAUUGCUCACCAUCAAUUGUUCACCGCGACAUAUCGAGCAACAACAUUCUACUUAACUCAAAUUUGGAGGCAUUUGUUGCUGACUUUGGCACUGCCAGGCUUCUACAUGCUGAUUCGUCCAAUCGAACUCUAUUAGCAGGAACAUAUGGAUAUAUAGCUCCAGGUUUACCCUUAUGAUAUCUAUUCUUCUCACGAUCGAUCCUUUACUUGCUUUAAUUUAAUUUUUUUUACUUUAUAUUGCAGUCAUGUCACCUAACAUCUCUCUUAAAUAGAUAGCCAGCUGGCUAGAGAAACUCACAAAUGAAAUUAUCUCUUUUAUUAGUGGGAAGCUACAUUCUAUGAUUACAUUUUUUUUUUUUGGGCAGAACUUGCCUACACCAUGGCUAUGACGGAGAAAUGUGAUGUUUAUAGCUUUGGAGUGGUGACGCUUGAAGUAUUAAUGGGAAAGCACCCAAGGGACCUUCUUUCAUCAUUGUCAUCAUCAUCUGAUCCAAAAAUCAUGCUGAUUGAUGUUUUAGACCCACGUCUUCCACCUCCAGUUGAUCGAAAGGUUAUUCGAGAUAUUCUUCUUGCUUCAACAAUUUCAUUUGCAUGCUUGCAAUCGAACCCAAAGUCUCGACCUACAAUGCAAUCAGUGUCUCAAGAAUUUCUCAUCACUCGCAAGACUCCAUUGGUAAAGCAUGCUGCUAUUCAAGAUAUUUCCAUCUCACAACUUAGAAACUAAUAAAAGGAUGAUCAAUAUAAUUGCUAAUCUUAAAUGUAUUUCGUUGGUAGCAUUUUGUAAAACUUUGGUGAGGGUGAAUUUUGGUUUCAUGAAAGCGUUGCCUUUCUUGAAUAAAAAUGAAAGUAACUCUUCUAAAGUGAAAUUGGUGCUUCCAAUCUAAACUAUUAAAUCUUUAAUUAUUUUUUCUGUGUGAAUUGCAUGUGCAAAUAAGGUCAGCAAGUUUUGCUAUUGUGCUAAGUCAUAUUUGUUAUUAAUGUAUUGUAACUUUUAACAAAUAACUACUUUAGAACAAAAAUGUAAUUAUAAAAUAAAAGUUGGGAGUGUAUAAUCAAUAUAAAUUUUAACUAAUAAUUUUGACAAAAUAAUAAAAAUAUUAUAGGCUUAUCGUCGUACAAGUGUGAGAUCAAAUCAACAAACAAGAUACUCAAAGGCAACAAACAAGAGACAUGCAAAUUUAGUGAUCUCUGUUUGUGUGAGGCUAAGGGUCAAUUUUGGAAUUAUUGUUCAAAUAGUCAAAAUUGAUUGUUUGAAAAGCGACAAACGUGUGUGCGUUGCUGUUCGGUAAAUUAUAUUAAUUUGACACUUAAAAAUUAAGAAAAAAAAAAGAAUAUUCUGGAUUAAACCAACUUGGAGAGGUUGCACUUGUAAUAUCUAUUCUUAAAAAAUUAAAAAAAAAAAAGAUAAAUUAUAUAGCCCGAAAAGACCUUGACUCCAAAAGUAGUCUCUACUUCAAUCUGUGGAAAAUUUUGAUACAAUUAAGUUCUAAAUUUUUCCACAAGAUAAUUGUUGUUGGUGGUACACGAUAAACACGUCUGCCUAGGUUUGUGGGAAAACUGGAAUAGAUUACAAAGACUGGAAUAAAUUAUAAUAAGGCUAAGCAAUAAGACCUGGUGCUCAAAUUCUAAAAGUAUUACAAAGACUUUUGGUACCUUCCUUAAAUUCACUUUAUACUUGAAUAGCCAUAUCUGUUCUUGUGAUUUCCUCAAGGAAAAAAGAUAAUAUGGAUCAUUUAACUCAGCCUUUUCAACUUUUGAUUUGCUUUCAGCUAUUGCACUUAUAUUUUCAGUUUUUUUUUUUCAGAUUAAUUAGUAACAUACAGUAAUAUAUUCUAAUUUGGACACUGCUAGCUUCUUCUAGAUGAUUAAACAUGGAAUUGGAGACAUCUUCUGCUCUGGGUUGUGGAACCAAAGUUACUCCUAUCGUUAUAAGCACUCAGUAUAGUUUGGAAUUUUACAAAACUGGCGACAAAUUCACCAAUUAACAAGUCUCCAUAACAAGAUUAUGAGCUAGUAUUAGUAACAAGACUUUGGCACUGCCAGGCUUCUGUAUGCUGAUUCGUCCAAUCGAACUCUAUUAGCAGGAACAUAUGGAUAUAUAGCUCCAGGUUUACCCUUAUGAUAUCUAUUCUUCUCAUGAUCGAUCCUUUAUUUGGUUCAAUUUUAUUUUAUUUUGCUUUAUAUUGCAGUCAUAUCCCAUAACAUCUCUCUUAAAUAGAUAGCCAGCUGGCUAGAGAAACUCACAAAUGGAAUUAUCUCUUUUAUUAGUGGGAAGCUACAUUCUAUGAUUACAUUUUUUUUUUUGGGCCAGAACUUGCCUACACCAUGGUUAUGACGGAGAAAUGUGAUGUUUAUAGCUUUGGAGUGGUGACGCUUGAAGUAUUAAUGGGAAAGCAUCCAAGGGACCUUCUUUCGUCAUUAUCAUCAUCAUCUGAUCCAAAAAUCAUGUUGAUUGAUGUUUUAGACCAACGUCUUCCACCUCCAGUUGAUCAAAAGGUUAUUCAAGAUAUACUUCUUGCUUCAACAAUUUCAUUUGCAUGCUUGCAAUCGAACCCAAAGUCUCGACCUACAAUGCAAUAUGUGUCUCAAGAAUUUCUCAUCACUCGCAAGACUCCAUUGGUAAAGCAUGCUGCUAUUCAAGAUAUUUCCAUCUCACAACUUAGAAACUAAUAGAGGAUGAUCAAUAUAAUUGCUAAUCUUAAAUGUAUUUCGUUGGUAGUAUUUUGUAAAACUUUGGUAAGGGUGAAUAUUGGUUUCAUGAAACCGUUGUCUUUUUUCCUCACAUACUUUCGAUGCUUUUCCAAAAUCUUAAUGGCUUUCGAAGUCUUCAUCUUGAGUUGAAUUCCACCAAAUUUUCUCUUUUCAGGUUUCAUUUACACCAAAUUUUCUCCAUUAUCCAUUCGUAAAUGAAUAUUGAAUCACCUUAGGAAUAUGCAAAACCUGUGAGGUUGAUACAAAGUAAUUAACAAAUCUUGGUUUGCCGACAAUUGAUUGUAGUCAGUUCCAAACUCUUUUCAUUAUCUUCUGAGAGCAACUUGAAUCUUUUAACUGAUGAAGAAGAUACUCAAAAAUACAAACAAGAGCAAUAAAUUAAUAACAAAGGCAACAAACAAGAGACAUGCAAAUUUAGAGUGCUCUCUCCGUGUGAAAUUAAAUAAAAUAAUUUACCGAACAAUAAUUCCAGAAUUAUAUAGCCCCGAAAGACCUUCACUUGUAACUAAAUUAUAUAGCCCCAAAAGACUCCAAAAGAAAUCUACUUCAAUCUUUGGAAAAUUUUGAUACAAGUUCUAAAUUUUCCACAAGAUAUCCCAAAGUGUAAUCUUAAAUGUAUUUCGUUGGUAGUAUUUUGUAAAACUUUGGUAAGGGUGAAUAUUGGUUUCAUGAAACCGUUGUCUUUCUUGAAUAAAAAUGAAAGUAACUCUUCUAUAGUGAAAUUGGUGCUUCCAAUCUAAACUAUUAAAUCUUUAAUUAUUUUUCUGUGUGAAUUGCAAGUGCAAAUAAGGUCAGCAAGUUUUAAUAUCGGUAAAUUAUAUUAAUUUGACACUUAAAAAUUAAGGAAAAAAAAGAAUAUUCUGGAUUAAACCAACUUGGAGAGGUUGCACUUAUGUAAUAUCUAUUCUUAAAAAAUUAAAAAAAAAAGAUAAAUUAUAUAGCCCGAAAAGACCUUGACUCGAAAAGUAGUCUCUACUUGAAUCUGUGGAAAAUUUUGAUACAAUUAAGUUCUAAAUUUUUCCACAAGAUAAUUGUUGUUGGUGGUGUCUGGCUCGUUUUAGACGUUUAGAAAUUGUUAGCAAUUGUUAAGAAAAAACAAAAGGUAAGCAAAAAUUAUAGUACUAAUUAUUUUACAAUGGUAAUUCUGUCAAUUUGAUAGAUAAUUGAUACAAAUAGUAAACUUAAGGUGAAAAAUAAAAAAUUGAAUAAAUUUAAAUUUUCAAAGUAUUUUUUUCUGUGUGAAUUGCAAGUGCAAAUAAGGUCAGCAAGUUUUGCUAUUGUGCUUAGGAAAUCUUCUUCCAUCCACAUUAUUUUUAUAAAUUAAUAUCGUGUGCAAUAAUUAUUGUAACUCAUGAGUUCUCAGAACUGUAAAUAAGAGUGGGAAUAUUUCCAUAUUGUGGCAUGACAUGGGCUUUUCUUCCCAAUCAAAUUUUAACAAAUUUUGGAUUCUCUAUUUCACUAUUUAAUUGAGUAGACUGCAGAUAUAAAUGUAGACAAAUGAUUAGCCUAACUUCACAGAAGUUUCAUUGCAUGUCGUUUUGCAUUGGCGCAUAAGAGUGAUCAAUUUAAUUGGAACGGCAAUGUUGAAGUUGAUAUGGUAAAAGCGAAAAUGACUAGAUAUUCCGCAAAGUCUAAAAUUCAAGAAAUUGAAGCACCAAUCAAGUGAUCAAAUUCUCUCAUGUAAUUAAUUAUCAUCAAUUGGCUUGAAGGUCAUCAAGAAGGUACUGGAUUGACAAAUUAAAUUACAUUGCUCUUUCAUUUCAUAAAUGGUAAAGAAAUAAAAUAUAAGACUUAGGUCAUGUUCAGUAUUUAGGUAUUGUAAUUUCUAAGUUAUAACCAUUGUGAAACAAAAGUUGUAACUAUAAAAUAAAAGGUGGGAGUGUAUAAUCAAUAUAACUUUUAACUAAUAAUUUUGAUUAAAAAAUUAUAAAGAUAUUAUAGGCUUCUCAUCAUAUAAGUGUGGGAUCAAAUCAACUUAACUUUUAUACCACAAUUGGCAGUACUUACUAUAUAAUUUUGUGCUAUAACUUAGAAAAUUAUAACUACCCAACAUCGAUACCAAACAAGACCUUAGUCUGCAAGCAUCUAUCAUUCCUUCCUUGUUUUAAAAUACUAGUCGUAUUAAGUCUUGAACUUGAAAUCAAUCUAACGGUACAGAGUUUUUUCCAAGUUCCAUCAGCAGCAAAUUUUCCUUUGCUUCCUCUGUUUCUUCAGAUAAACGCCACUAAAGAUAUCAAAAUUAUUGCUUGUUUGUUUCUGGAUUUUAGCUAUCGGUAUGAUACAUCCGCUGAGACCCCGGGUGCAUUUUUUCCUGCUCAAAUACCUAAUAGUCACUAACCAACCAAUAUGAAUUCUUGAAAAAGAACCAUAAAAAAAAUGAUUCUUUUAUUCAUAUUUCUCCAGAGAGAAAGAAGAAACAAAUAAUUAAGAGCUGAAAUUAUGUAACAGUAAUUAUCAAGAAGUUAAAUAUGGCAAUACCUAAUAUACAAGUUACCUACGGUUGAUCACUUGUAAUAUUAUGAUACAAUUAUCUACGGUUAAUCCAUGCAUGGUUCACUUGUAAUUUAUUGUCUUUUUAUUUUAGUUUUUCAAUUAUUAUUAUUAAUAAUAUUUUAGUUUCUUUAGUAAAAGAGAGGAAUUAUUUAGUCCGGAAUCCUAGAAUUCGGACGCACGGUGGGUUCCAACAUAUAUGCAGUAGAUAAAUAAAGAGAGCAAAGGCUGUUGGAUUGCAAUACAGAGUUUUCUAGAUAAUUUCCUAAUAAAGUAUAUUUAUCUCAUCAUAAUUAGUUUUGGUGGUUUAUAAAUGUUGAAAGUGUAAAUUUUGAAAUUUCACCUACUUUUAAUUAAAUUUUAAAUAACCUAAGAUAAAUUUUCAUGAUCGAAAAAAGCAGAUAAUUAUUUGAGGAACCAUGUUAUGAUACAUUAUAAUGUAUCAUAUAUUAACCUAUUCCAACAAUGUAAAACUUGAUUCAAUAAAACUACGAUUGAAUUUACAAAAAUAACUUUUGGAUUUGAUGCAUCAUACAUUAUCAUUAUAAAUUAUCCUAGCAACAUCCUAAUUUAAUAAUCACUUUUAGAAUAAGUUUACUAUUUAUUUUUUGUAAAAAGAUUUUUUUUAUUCCUUUACAUACAAUAAAUAUAUAAUUUAUUCUAGCUCAACCAAAGAUGUCUAUUCUUAAAUGAAAUAAGAUUUCAUAAUGUCGUUAUCUAAAAUUUCUGAAUUAUUUAAGAGUAAAAUUAAUAAAAUAAUUUACACAAUUGAAUGCCAAUAAUAUUGUAAGGUUAUAUUUAUGAUAACGAUUAAUAAUCUCAUUAAUUUCUGAUAAAGUUUAUAAAAAAUUAUUUAAAAAUUUAGAAAAGCUAAUAAAAAUAUAUAUUUGUUUCUAAAGUUAAAUUUAAUUUUUUUUAAAAUUAAAUGUAAAUUUUUAGGGAGAUAAUAAUAAAGUAAUUUAGAAAGGAAAAUGAAAAGAAAAGGAAAGACGUCCAUAACCGUUGGACCUUAGCGGCUAGUUUGUCAGUAAAGCAACCGAGUCAAAAUUUUCUUUAAGCAAGGAAACAACAGCACAACGACUUUUGAAGAAGAUAAGGGCUAAGUUAUAUGUAAUAUAAUUUACACCACUCAUUUAACUAGUGAAUAAACUCCACAUUAUUUUUUGUUCAUGUGAAUGAGUAUAAGUUAUAUUACAUGUAACUUAAGGUUCCCUUUGAAGAAUUAAAACUCACUACUAUGCGCCACGUGUCGGCCUAUGUUCCUCUUUGCGGUUACAUCGCUCUGCUCUCAACGAUCUUUGUGUUGCCACUUCGGCCUUGGUCGAAGUGGUGGGCUGCUGCCCUCACAAGCAUUGUGAGGGCAGCGGUUCUAGCCCCCACAAAAGCAUUGUGGGGGCUAAAUGUUCUUCAUAUUUAAAAAUUUUUCUCCCUUGUAAAAUACGUGUGGAGUAUGGAUAUCCCUCUCCUGUGAGGGGUUAUUUGUCUAGGCAUGUACUUCAUAGAAUUCAAUAUAAUAAUGUAAGUCCCAAUCAUGUAUACUUGAUUGUAAAUAUCAGUAUAAUAUCUUUGCUAUAAUAAUAGUUGUUGUAAAUACUUAUAUAAUACAAUAAUCUGAUGGUUAAUCAAUAUUAAAAAAAAAAACGAUCUUUGUGUUUUUCAUGUUUUAUUUUUUCGAAAGACUUAACUAUCUUUGUUUACUUUAUGUCUAAAGAGCAAGCUCUCCUCAACUCACAACCGUUAGAUUAGAUUAUUUUAGCUAUUCGACGGCCAAAAAGGUAACAAGACUAAAAGUAAAGGGAGCCGUUGUGGGAUCCGCUUGAAUGAUGGAAACCCGACACGUCGCUAUCAAAUUUCUUUUUAAACUAUGUGGUGGUAGUGGUAAUAACAUUAAGUCCCUAAAUUUUUGAAACAUCAUAAGUAAAGACAUAUCUUGCAAAAAUAUUCAUAGAAGUCCUAUCCUUAGAAUUUGUUAAAGAUUCACAAGUAAAAUCAAUCAUUUAACCGUUAAAUAUUUGAAAAUCGGCUUACAGAUAAACUUAUUUAUCUCCAUAUUUUGAGAAACAUAUUAUUGAACUUUCAACAAAACUUGACUAUAUAUACGAUAUAAUUCAUAACAUGACUUUCUAAUUCAAUAAACAAUGAUAUAAAUUAAGUUAAUAAAUUCAAAUUAAUCUAAAAUUACACAAGUAUUAAUCGUAUAAAAUAUAUAUAAUUUAUUUACUAACCUGUUUGGGUUUAGAUUUUUUUUCAAUAUUGUAUAUGACAUGAUAAUUAUGGUAAUAACCAUAUAGGUCCUCAAUAUUAUUUAAAUAAAAAAUAUUAAACCGGUGAAAAUUAAAACAAAAUCUAAUUUAAAGAUAUGUUAAUCAUGCUUUUAUCAAUCGUGUGCUAAAUUAGUGUUUUAAGCUUUUUAGCUUGGCCGAACUUGUGCCGCCCAAAAUUUUCACGAGGAAGAAUACCAUAAAUAAUCCAACCUAAACUACUACAACAGGGUCUCUGCAAAAAUAUUAUCUAUCACUUAUGACCUUUCAUUUAAAUUUCUGUAAACAUUAGGGACCUUCUUGCUAUUAUCUCAAAAGAAAUCAGGUUCUUCAAGCCUAUAAAUACAAAGAGUCAUUCACAAUUGCUCAUGUUACAAAACCAAAACAAGAUAUAAUUUGGAGGAAAAAAAAUUCAUAUCACAAAAUCAAAAUCUCUAACACUCUUUAAGUUCUAAUGCAGCGAUGGGGCAGGUUAGUAUUUGCGGAUCUGUGGCUUUGAUUCUCUUUAUUGCAGCGCUUCUCCCAAUGACAGCUGUCGGCAGUGAACAGGAUGUCGACCUGGCGCCGUCGCCGAGCAUGGACGCCGGAGCUGCGUUCCUGGUGACUGUUUCCGGUGGCUUUGUUUGCUCCUUACUCUUCCUCUCAGUCAUUGCUCUACUAUUGCAGUAAUAGGUUCUUGAGAGACUCAGAUUUUGAUUUUAUAUUUUAUAUUUUAUUUUUGUUAUUAGGAUAUUUAUUACUUUUGAAAUUUUUGGGUAUUUUUUUAAUCGCUAUUUGGUGGGAGUGCAUGUGUUUGAGUUGCUGUGAGUGAGAAUAUUGGAAUCGGAUCCGGUGCUCAGCUGAUCAAUGGUCAGCAAUUGCUUGGAGCCCACAUAAAGCCUAGCACAGCUGAGCGUCCGAGAAUAUUAGUUUUAAUAAUUCGAUUAUUUUUCCUCUAAUCUUUGGUUAGGGUUGUUUUUUCCUUUUCUUUUUUUUACGGUCUUGAUAUUAUAUUAUAUUUUAAUUAUAAAAAUUGGUUUUGUUAUUUAUCAUCUUUCGUCUCUCUUUAAUAUUCAUCGUGCUUAAUAUUGUUAGCUCCAUUUUACUUCGCUACUAAAAAUGUCCCAGAGAUCAUUUCUAUUAUAUGUAUUGUUAAUCUUAAGUAUAUUUAGUACAAAAACUAGCUGAAGGAAAUUGACUUUAAAUAAGAAAAAAAAUCUAUUUAGAUGGUUAAAAUCUAAAGUUAAUUGAAAAUCUAUUGCAAAUUAAUAAUUCAAAAUCCGUGUCAUUAUUUUAAGCCAAAAAUUUCUCAAGAAAAAUUGAACUGGGAUAGUUUUAUGUAGUUUCAUACUUUCAAUUUCAAAUGGGCCGGUUUAAUAAUUAGGAGUGGCGCUAUCGGCACCCCCCCUGAUAUUCUUCUCAAACCCCUUUUCUGUUUAUUUCCUCCUCAAUUCCUAAAAUAGCUUUUAUCUGUAAUUUUUCCGCAAACAAUUUCAACCUCCUUUGGAUAACAACCCAAUAUUUUGUAUCCUAUGCGCUUAAUUUAUUAUGAGGUUUCUAUUUGUUUUAGUUUUAUACUUUUCAGUUUAUGAAAUUAUAUUUCAAAAUAAAUAUGUAUAAAAUACACUCAGGUGGUGUUUGGUUUUCAGAAAGAGGAGGAGAAGAAAAGAGUGGAAUGAAGGGGAAAGGAGAAGAGAGGAGUGGAAGAGAAUAGUGAAAUUAAAUUUUAUUAUUUGGUUUGACAUAAAAUUUAAUAGAAAAAGGAAUUGUAAUUUUUUUCUUUGGACAAAUUUAUCCUUUACCUUAAAUAUUAAAUUAUCUAUAUUACUAAUAAAAUAUAAUUUAAUAUUAAUACUAAACUUUUUUAAUUUCAAAAAGUUUUAAAACAAUUCAUGAUUUAUAUUUAAUAUAAAAUAAUUUAACAUCUUAAACUAUUUAAUAUUAAAUAUAAUUUAAUAUAAAUAAAAGUCGGUCAAUAUAAGUCAACGACGGUCAACAUCGGCCGGCUAUUUUCCUACGGAAGUCUGGUGUGCCGGCGGUGGUCCGGCUAAGUUCCGGUGAAGGUCCGAUAGUUAAUUUAUAUUUAUAUAUUUUCAUAUUAAAUAAAUAAAUAAGUUUAUUUAUAAUAUUAAAUUGAUAAAAUAAAAUUAUAAAUAAUAAUAAUUAAUAACAUUAAAGAAGUUGAAAUGUUGAAGGGCAAUUUUGGAAACUUGUGUUUUCAACAUAAGAGGAAUUUAAAUUCUUCACUCUUUGGUGUGAAAUUUAAAUUCUACAUUAUAAGGGAUAUUAAAUUCUAAUAAAAAUUAAAUUCUUAUAUAUUUUGCGCAAUCAAACAAUGGAAAUAAAAGUAGAAUUUGAAUUACUUUCCUCUCCCCCAUUCUCUCUCCCCAACCAAACAUCUCCUUAAGGUUUAGUUAUCUCUUAGCAUUCUAAUAACGUUCGUAAUUUAUGAAAAUUUUAUGAAAUUAUCUUUCCUACAAAAAUAAAUUGUUAAGUGAAAAAAAAUACUUCAUAUCAAAUUCUUGCUCUUUACCAUUGACCUUUUUUUCCAAAAAAAAAAAAAAUGCAACUUUUACGUGCUUUAGUGGAGAAAGAGUCAGUGAGAAAAAAUCAUAUAUGGAUUUAAUAAGAUAAGAUUUUGAGAAAGAGUCAGUGAGAAAAAAUCAUAUAUGGAUUUAAUAAGAUAAGAUUUUACAGCGAAUACAAUUCAAGAUACAAGGGAUAAAAUUGUAAAUGUAUAACAAGAGCGGUUUUAUAAGAAAAAUACAGGGCUGCCAAUAGUAUCACUCAAUAUUUAGACCAUCUACUUAUAUUGUAGUUUUAUGUCGUUUCAUACUUUUGAUUUCAAAUGGGCCGGUUUCAUAAUUAGACCAUCUACUUAUGUUGUAGUUUCAUACUUUCGAUUUCAAAUGAGCCGGUUUAACAAUUAGACCAUCUACUUUCAUCAUACUUCUCUUGAAAUUCAAUUUUUUCCUUACAUACUUUCUGUGCUUUUUCCAAAAUCUGAUUUACACCAAAUUUUCUCCAUUAUCCAUUCGCAAAUGAAUAUUAUCCAUUAUGCAAAACCUGUGAAGUUGAUACAGAGCAAUUAACAAAUCUUGGUUUGCAGACAAUUGAUUGUAAUCAGUUCCCAAACUCUUUUCAUUAUCUUCUGAAAGCAACUUGCAUCUGUUGAGGUUAACUGAUGAAGAAGAUACUCAAAAAUACAAACAAGAAAUUAAAAACAAAGGCAACAAGCAAGAGACAUGCAAAUUUGUGAAAUUAACUACAAACGUGUGUACCUUGCUGUUCGGUAAACAAAUUAUAUAGCCCGGAAAGACAUUGACUCCAAAAGAAAUCUACUUCAAUCUUUGGAAAAUUUUCCAAGAUAUCCCCAAAUGUAAUUUUCAAACAAUUGUUGUUGGUGUUGUCGAGCUCGUUUUAGACGUUUAGGAAUUGUUAGAACUCGUAUAAGGACAAUGACUUCUUGAGUCAUGAAUCAGUCUUCGUUUACUGAUUAUUUGAUUAUUUUUAUUCCCACAAUGACACAAAUUACCAAUUUAUAGAGUAGAAAAUAACUUGUCAUGAAUAGAAGAAGACCAUUUAUUUAUACAUGGAAUUAUGGAUUAAUAAAAGUCUUUGCUCCUCCAAAACCAAUUUUUAUUGAUUAUUUUAUUAUUUGAUUAUAUAUGUUGGACCAAAAAUAAAAUAAGCCUAAUAAGACCCAAAUAAAUUUAAUCUCAAUAAGGCUCAUCUAAUAAAUUUUCUCUCAAUUAAACCCACAAAGUGGUGGACAAAUCACUUAGAAUGAUCCUCCUAAGUAACAAGGUUUCAAAACCCAAAAGAUGUCAAUAAUAAUAAUAAUAUUUAAUUUUUUUUUGGUGGAUGAUUGAUACCAAUUAUAAACUUAGAAUAAAAAAAUUGAAUGAAUUUAAAAUUUUAUAUUACUUUUUGAUAACAAGAUAAAUAUAAAUAGAUGACUAAUAAUUUUUCCACAAUUAAUCCUAAUUCUUCAUUUUUGAAUUUGAGUGGCCAACAAAUAAAAUUAUUUGAAAACUGCUCUAUCCUGAGAGUUAUUGGUAGAUGCAUGAUUGCUAAAUUCUAACCACAAGAAAAAAAUAACAAAAAAGAAAUUUAAUUGAGGAAAAUCAAAUAUCUAUAAAGAUUUGUACCAAUCAUGUACACAAAUCAAACUCCCUCAGUGUUCUAAAGUGUAAAGACCAGAGAAGACCUUGACUCACUAUUGUGUUUGAAAACAAGUGUUGCUAUUUCAACGCGGGAAGAAGAUGAUUAUGGGCCUGCUCAUGGUGUCCUUUUCCUGGGUUAAAGUGUCUAUAUGAACUUUAUAAGAACUUGCAGAAUCCAAUCAACCGAAAAAUUACAAUCAUGGAUCCGGCAUCCUCCAUUUUCAGAUUGGCGGCCCUUGUAUGGGUUGCAAUAUUUACAUGCGCUAACGUUGCUGUUAGAACUAGUACAAUUGUCACAGCAUCUGCUUUGUCACCCAUUGUUAGAGUGCAAUUUAUGCACUAGUUUUGCAUUGUUUACUUCCCUUAAUAUCGAUGUUUUGCACUUAAUAAUAGUGAUUUACUUGUGAUUUACUUUUGUAGGUGCAAUUCUAUUGAUUGGUGAUAAAAUUGAGCUACAAGAUGAUGUUUAGGGAUGAUAGUUCCCUUGGAGAAAUUAUGAGCGGCAGAAGAACUUUGUUGAUAAGGCGUGGGCGUGUGCUGUCAAUUGCGGACCUGUAGUUUUUAGUUUAACGUGUUUUAUAUUUUUGGCUAUUUUUGUAAUUACGAAUUUAAUAUUUUAGAUAUUAGUAUUUUAUUUUAAAUAGAACUCUAAAAGAGAAGAGAGAGAGAGUAUUUAAGGGAGGAAUCUAUUGUGAAAAAGGGGGAUUUUUGGAUUGGAGAAAAAGAAAGAAACCCUAGAUCUAAUUUUUCUCUUCUCUCUAUGAAGAGCUAAACCUAUUUGUCUGGUUGAAGGAAUUAACUCAGCUUGAUUCAACUACUGAUCAUUGAUUCAAAUAUAGAUUAUUAUUAUUAAUUAUGAAUAGACCGGUUAUAGCUACUGAGACCCUCUAAUAGCCAAUCUCUCCUUAACUAGUCGAUAACCAAGGUACGACCGUUGGUUAUUUCCCUAAUCAAUAGACAACCCUAGAUACGAUCAUAGGAUUUAAUCAAUUGACAGCCUGAAAAACCAGAGAGACCCAAAUCCUAAUCAACACAUAUGAUGAUUCAUUUAAAUUAGAUUGUUAUUCUCACAACACAACUCUCUGCUAUGUUAUUUGUCACAAACAUUAAAUCCUUCAUACGAUGAAUCCUUUAAUUGACAAUAGAUUAAGUUGAUAAUUAAAUAGUGGUCAAUUACCUAAUUAACAAACAUAAUCAUGAAACAAACAUAAUCAUGAGACAGCAGACGAAGCGAGCCUCGCAACGAUCCUCAUUGCCUUUGCUUUCUGAAACAGAUACAGUGCCAGAUUUAGUUGAAUCAUCUAGCGAUUCAGAAGAACAAGUGAUGGAUAGACCUGCACCUGUAGAAAGAACUCUUAGAGAGUUAGCUGAACCAGACUUGAAUCAGCAACCACUCUGCAUUCAAUAUGUAGAUUUGGAGGUAAAUUUUGAAUUAAAGUCUGGUCUUAUUCAUUUAUUACCCAAGUUUCAUGGUUUUGCAGGUGAAGAUCCUCAUAUACAUCUUAAGGAGUUUCAUGUUGUAUGUUCAAGUAUGAGACCACAAGGCGUGACUGAAGAGCAGAUUAAGCUGCGUGCUUUUCCAUUCUCUUUAGAUGGGUUAGCUAAAGAUUGGUUGUACUACUUGCCUCCUGGAUCGAUUACAACGUGGAAUGGUUUGAAGAAGCAGUUCCUCGAGAAGUACUUUCCUGCUUCAAGAGCUGCCAAUAUCAGAAAAGACAUUUGUGGGAUCAGACAACUUCCUGGGGAGACUUUGUAUGAGUAUUGGGAGCGAUUCAAACAAUUGUGUGCCAGCUGUCCUCAGCAUCAGAUUUCUGAUCAACUUCUUUUUCAAUAUUUUUACGAAGGACUAUCAUUGAUGGAUAAGAGUAUGAUAGAUGCUGCUAGUGGAGGCGUGUUGGUGAACAAGACCCCUACUCAAGCAAGGGAGUUGAUAUCAAAUAUGGCUGCCAAUGCACAACAAUUUGGCAGCAGGCAAGAUCCUACUUCAAGGAAGGUGAAUGAGGUAAAUAUUUCUUCUGUUGAACAACGUUUAAAUAAACUCACUUCUCUUGUGGAAAAGUUUGUUGUAGGUAAUGUGCAACAGGUGAAGACUUGUGGUAUUUGUUACAAUAUGGGUCAUUCAACUGAUAUGUGUCCUACACUUCAAGAAGAACCCGUUGAACAAGCCAAUGUAGUUGGAGGAUUUCCAGGCAUGCCUCAGAGGAGGUAUGAUCCUUAUGCACAAACAUACAAUCCGGGAUGGAAGGAUCAUCCCAACUUCAGCUAUGUAGUUAGGCCGUCAGGAUUCCCACAACAGUAUCCACCAAGACAACCAGCACCUCCACAGUCAACCUCCAAGUCAGGUAUAUCUCUUGAAGAAAUUGUUAAAUCACUUGCGACUAACACUCAACAAUUUCAGCAGGCAACUACAGCAAGCAUUCAGAACUUGGAGAACCAAAUGAGUCAAUUGGCGACUACAGUAAGCCGUCUGGAGUCUCAAGUAUUAGGAAGAUUGCCUUCACAAUCUGAGGUGAAUCCAAAGCAAAACGUUAGUGCUGUCAUCCUUAGAAGUGGGAAGGAGUUGCAAGAGCCUAGUAAGAAAGUGACAAAGCAUGUAAAAGAUGAGCUUGAGAAGAAUGAAUUGAUGCCUAAAUCUUAAGAUGCGCAACACACCAGAGCGAAACCCCUACCUAUUGUGAUACCUCCUCCUUUUCCAAGCCGGUUUACAAAAUCCAAGAAGGAUGAACAAGAGAAAGACAUCCUUGAGACAUUUCGCAAGGUUGAGGUAAAUAUUCCUUUAUUAGAUGCUAUAAAACAAAUACCUCGAUAUGCUAAAGUCCUUAAGGAACUGUGCACCUCCAAAAGAAAAUUAAGAGGAGAUGAAAAAGUUCACAUGGGGGAGAAUGUUUCAGCAGUUCUCCAAAAGAAACUACCUCCUAAGUGCAAGGAUUCAGGUAUGUUUACUAUCCCAUGUAAAAUUGGUAGUGUUAGAGUUGAAAAUGCUUUGUUAGAUCUAGGAGCUUCUAUUAAUGUCAUGCCUCGUUCCAUUUAUUCAUCUUUGAAUAUUGGUCCAUUAAAAGAAACUGGUGUGAUAAUUCAACUAGCUGAUAGGUCUAAUGCAUAUCCUGAUGGGGUAUUAGAAGAUGUCUUAGUACAAGUUAAUGAGUUGGUUUUUCCUGCUGAUUUUUAUGUACUUGAUAUGGAAGAUGAUAACUCCUCUAAUUCUGUCCCAAUUUUACUAGGAAGACCUUUUCUUAAGACUGCUAGGACUAAAAUGGAUAUACAUAAAGGGACUCUCACUAUGGAGUUUGAUGGAGAGGUUAUAGAAUUCAAUAUGAAUGAUGCCAUGAAAUAUCCUAGUGAGGAACAUUUGGUAUUUUCUGUGGAUGUUAUUAACCCUAUAGCGCAGGAAAUUUUUUACAAGGAAAAGACGAAGACAUUUCAUGAUAGAAUGAUUUUGAGAAAGGAGUUCUGUGUUGGUCAAAAAGUUCUUCUUUUUCAUUCUAAGCUUAAACUUUUUCCGGGUAAAUUACGUUCUUGUUGGGUUGGACCUUUUAUUGUUACUAAUGUUUUUCCUCAUGGUGCAAUUGAGAUUCGGAGCCCGACCUCUGACAGAGUUCUUAAGGUUAAUGGUCAUCGCUUAAAACCUUUUUAUGAAGGUUUUUCGGUGAAUAUUGUGGAGGAUGUGGCUCUCGAAAGUCCAAAUUAUGGAGAUUGAUGCAUAAAUGUGUCUAGCCAAAGACAUAAAACAAAGGCGCUUUUUGGGAGGCAACCCAAGUGAUUUAUUUAUUUUGGUUUUUGUUAUAUCUUCUUUUAAUUUUGAUUCAGAUUUUUUUAAAUAAUGUGUUUGCUUAUUUUGGUCAGAAGAAAAUUUUUGAUAAGGCGUGCCCACGUCUUAACUAAUAAGUACUUCUGUAAUUUUUAAAGUAAAAUAGUUUUAAGGCGUGCCCACGUGCUUAUUAGAAAAGUACUUCUGAAAUUUUUAGUGUCUCAAAGUGAUUCAUUACUAAAAAAAAAAAAAAAUUUUAAUUUAAUUUAUUUUAUUUUAUUUAUUUAUUUCUUUUGUUCUUUCUUUUAUAUAUAUAUAUUUUUAUUUAUUUAAAAAAAUCAAAAAAAAUAUAUAUUUACUAUUCACAAAAUCCCUAAUUUUCCAGAAAUUGUUUUCUUCUCCAGCCGUUUGCAGCACGCCAGCAACAAACCAGCCAGCCAGAGAAUGCAGCAUCAGUCGCGCGCAACGCAAGCACCAGCCACGAGCACGCCCCGCAACGCAACUCAGAACCAGCUCUCGCGCGCAACAGUCCCGCAGCAACACAGCCACGCAGCAGCUCUCGCGCGCAACACAGCCACGCAGACAGCAUCCUGCACACAACCAGCAGUGCGCAACCAGCCCCAAGCCGCGCAGCAAGCUCCAGCCGAGCACGCAACGCAACAAGCGUCACCAGCGCGCGCACCAGCAAUCCCCCAGCGCGCAGCAACAGCCGCAGCACGCAGAUCCAGCGUCACCAGUUCGCAGCAUCAGUCCCAUCCACGCGCAACUGAACCACCAGCCGUGUACCCGCAAGCUCCAGUCGAGCAGCAAUAGUCCGCAACCAGCCUACGACCUGCAUUCCAGCCGCAUGAAUCGAAAUCCGUGACAAGAUGGAGCAGAAUUUGGCCGCAUACUUCAAGAGUGUGGGAUUUAUCCCACCAUUCCCGCCAAGCCCAUAGACGUUAUGAGGAUCAAAGCUCACAAUUCAGGGAAGUUUUUGCCUUUAAUCUUUUAUCCUUACGCUUUAAUUUUUAUGUGAGCUUUGAUUAUCUUACAUUGGGGACAAUGUAAGUUCUUGGUGUGGGGGAGGGAUUUUUGCAUUAUUGAUGUCUGGAAUUAUUAUUUUCACUCUACUCAUCCUUAAAUGAUUUUGGAGUUAGUAUGCUUUAUAUAUUAUUAAUUUUCUUUUCCUUUAUCUCUCACUACUUUUCUCCCAUCUAUCUCAAACUAUUCAUAUCUAUUUUUAUUUUACCAUACUCUUUCAUCACUCACAUUUUAUCUUUCACUUUUCAUAUUACUACAUACAUCUUUCUCACUUCUUAUCAUUUUUACUUUUUCUUUUAUAUAUCACUCAUACCUUCUUCUCAUUCUACACCACUAUCGAUGGUUGAUUCAUUUGAAGAGUGUACAUGAUUUGAUGGCAAAUUUACCAACUUUGUGAGGAUUUGAGCCUAUGAGCAACCACUUUGCUCUAAUUAUUUUUGUUAUGUGAAUAUCAAUCCUAGUUUGUUUAUUCUAGAACUUGCUUUGUUAUGCAUGUUGAAGCCACAUUACGGGAUUUUAGGCAUUAAAAUGAUAAGGGCAAACCAUUUACCAUUUUUCUAUUCUCGCAUUUUCCUUUUUCUCUACCCGAAGACCUUUAUUUGCUACCUUUGUUUGAGCCUUUACCAUUACCCAUCUAAUUCUCUCCGUCUACUUAACCAUUUUUCUUCUUUUUUAGCCUCAAUUUAAGGAGAUUUUUGGACUCAUUGUGUGGAUAUAUUUUGUUGCUUUUUCUACCUUGUAUUGAAGUUUCUCAAUUAGAUCAACAAGUAUUAUGCUUGAAUUAAAUUGUGCAAGGUUCGUUUCUUUUGUUUGAUUCGAAAAAAAAAACAACAAAAAAAAAUGAAAAAAUGAAAAAAAAAAUGAAAAAGAAAAGGAAAAAGAAAAAAAAAAGAAAAAGAAAAAAAAAGAAAAAGAAAAAUCGAAAAAAAAAAUGUUUACAUUCUUGGUGACUUGAGUAGAAAUAAGCAUUUUGAUAUCAUAAGUUCAUUCAAUGAGUUCAUUCUUCUCAUUUUGAUCUCUUUUUCUUUCGUAAACCUUUCUUUUUCAUUUAACCCAUUUAACCCCAUUACAACCCUUUUAAGACCCUUAGAUUUUUGCAUUUUAUUCAUGUUUUGUGGAUUGAGAUGUGAUUUAUGAGCAAGCUUAUGGUAAUAGCAUUCUUUGAUUUGAUUUGAGUGGAUAAAUGACACCCUAAACACUUUGAGUGCAUGGAGUGAAGUUAUUGAGAGGGCUAUUACAUCUUGUUGCACUUGAAUUUUGAAUGGAUCUUCUUGGUGGUUGAAUGUUCUUAUUCUAUCUUAUGAGAUUCUAUGCUUUAAAAUCCUUGUCUCUCGAAUGUUGAUCGACUUAAUUUCUUGAGGUAUGCUUGCUUAAAAUUAUUUUUGGAUGAGUUGAGAUGAGAAUUGAGUGGAAAUUUGAGAUUAAUCUUGAGUUAUAUGCUUGAGGACAAGCAUCAUCUUGGUGUGGGGGAAUUUGUUAGAGUGCAAUUUAUGCACUAGUUUUGCAUUGUUUACUUCCCUUAAUAUCGAUGUUUUGCACUUAAUAAUAGUGAUUUACUUGUGAUUUACUUUUGUAGGUGCAAUUCUAUUGAUUGGUGAUAAAAUUGAGCUACAAGAUGAUGUUUAGGGAUGAUUGUUCCCUUGUAGAAAUUAUGAGCGGCAGAAGAACUUUGUUGAUAAGGCGUGGGCGCGUGCUGUCAAUUGCAGACCUGCAGUUUUUAGUUUAACAUGUUUUAUAUUUUUGGCUAUUUUUGUAAUUACGAAUUUAAUAUUUUAGAUAUUAGUAUUUUAUUUUAAAUAGAACUCUAAAAGAGAAGAGAGAGAGAGUAUUUAAGGGAGGAAUCUAUUGUGAAAAAGGGGGAUUUUUGGAUUGGAGAAAAAGAAAGAAACCCUAGAUCUAAUUUUUCUCUUCUCUCUAUGAAGAGCUAAACCUAUUUUUCUGGUUGAAGGAUAAUGAAGCUUUGAUUCAUCACUACUGUGAGAUCUUUCUUAUGCUUUAAUUGUUUUAUUACUUUUUGGGUAUUUGUUUAUUCUCUGAAUUAGUUUCAUGAUUAUGUUUGUUAAUUAGGUAAUUGGCCACUAUUUAAUUAUCAACUUAAUCUAUUGUCAAUUAAAGGAUUCAUCGUAUGAAGAAUUUAAUGUUUGUGACAAAUAACAUAGCAGAGAGUUGUGUUGUGAGAAUAACAAUCUAAUUUAAAUGAAUCAUCAUAUGUGUUGAUUAGGAUUUGGGUCUAUCUGGUUUUUCAGGCUGUCAAUUGAUUAAAUCCUAUGAUCGUAUCUAGGGUUGUCUAUUGAUUAGGGAAAUAACCAACGGUCAUACCUUGGUUAUCGACUAGUUAAGGAGAGAUUGGCUAUUAGAGGGUCUCAGUAGCUAUAACCGGUCUAUUCAUAAUUAAUAAUAAUAAUCUAUAUUUGAAUCAAUGAUCAGUAGUUGAAUCAAGCUGAGUUAAUUCCUUCAACCAGAGCUUUCUCCAAUUUGAAUUACAACUUUAAUUUGCAUUCUUGUUAUUUUGAUUUGAUUUUUAUUAUUGUCAACAAUUCCCCCAUUUUACGUUUUACGUUUCAAAAGGAUUUAAAUAAUUACCGAUCUCUGUGGACACGACCCUGCUCAAUCACUAUACACAAUUUAUUUAGAGUAGGAAUUUAUUUUUGUUGGCUUCAACACCCAUCACCCAUACAGUUAGAAACGAAUGCUUUACUCAAUACUGGCUGGUGGAACAGCACCUGGACGACGGCCAACUACGAUUCGGAUCAUUGCAAGUGGGAAGGCAUCACUUGCAAUUCAGCAGGAAGCAUAAUCGAGCUACACUUAUCAGGGGAUGAUAAUAGCCAAUUAAACUUCUCUUGCUUUCCGAACCUCGAAAAUCAGACAAACCAGUUCUUUCCUCUUACUGGAAGCAUACCACCAGAAAUUACUGCUCUUUCAAAACUCCAACUGCUGGACUUGUCCUCGAACGGGCUUACAGGUAACAUACGAAAUUAACUUCAUUACCGCAUAUUAUUUGAGCAAUCAUAUUUAAAUGGAUUAAGUUUGAGAGAAUACUGACAAAAACAAAGGUGAACCAGCCCUAUUUUAUCAUAUUAAUUGAAAAAAAAUAAUAAUAAUUAACACGGUAGACACACCUGUUUACACCAUUGUUUUUAUUUAUGCUCUAUCAACGUUUAAUUUCUUCAACAUUUUUUUUCAUUAUUUUCGUAGACUAAUAACAUAAAUGUAUAAAAUAGGUACAAUCCCUCCAGAAAUUGGGAACCUGAAGAAUUUGAUCGAGUUGAAUGUGGGCAGUAACAGCCUAAUUGGGCCUAUUCCUUCAGCUCUAGGGAGUUUGACCAAUCUGAGCAAUUUGGAUCUUUCCUCUAACAAACUUUCUGGAAAAAUUCCUCCAGAGAUAGCAGGUAUGAAGAAUCUAACCUGGUUGGACCUAUCAAAUAACAACAUAAAAGGUUCAAUUCCCGGUGAGAUCACCGAAUUAUCUCGACUUGAUUAUCUAGAUCUUUCCUCUAACAAACUUUCUGGCCCAGUACCGUUUUCAAAUAAACAUCUCUCAAGCAUGCAUACAGUAAGACUCCAUCAUAACAAGGGUUUGUGCGGCAAUAUUCUUGAUCUUCCCUCAUGCGAUACAACCAAACCUGGCACUCUGUUUGUUGAAAUUUUUCUUCCCCUCGCCAUAGUCCCCUCAGUUAUAGUCUUUGCAUGCUUACUAGUCGUCAAACGUAAGUACAAGAAACCCAAACUCAAGGAAAGAGCAACCAAUAGCAUAGAUGUAUUGUCAAUAUGGAAUUAUGAUGGUAGGAUUUUCUACGAGGAUCUGAUUGAAGCCACAGAAGAUUUUCACAUUAAAUAUUGCGUUGGUACCGGAGGCUAUGGUAGCGUCUACAAGGCACAGCUUCCCAACGGCAAGGUAUUUGCAUUGAAAAAGCUUCACACUUCAGAGGAAUUGGCGUUCAUCAAGAGUUUCCGAAACGAGGCUCAAGUGCUUUCUCAAGUACUGCACCGUAAUAUUGUCAAAUUAUACGGUUUUUGCUUGCACAGAAAAUGCAUGUUUCUCAUUUACGAGUACAUGGAGAGAGGAAGCUUGUUCUGCAAUUUACACAUUGAUGAGGACGCUGUGGAGUUGGAUUGGGCUAAGAGGGUGAACAUUGUAAAAGCCAUGGCACAUGCUUUGGCUUACUUGCAUCAUGACUGCUCACCAUCAAUUGUUCACCGCGACAUAUCGAGCAACAACAUUCUACUUAAGUCAAAAUUGGAGGCAUUUGUUGCUGACUUUGGCACUGCCAGGCUUCUACAUGCUGAUUCGUUCAAUCGAACUCUAUUAGCAGGAACUUAUGGAUAUAUAGCUCCAGGUUUACCCUUAUGAUAUCUAUUCUUCUCAUGAUCGAUCCUUAAUUUGGUUCAAUUUUUUUUUUCCUUUAUAUUGCAGUCAUAUAUGUAACAUCUCUCUGAAAUAGAUAGCCAGCUGGCUAGAGAAACUCACAAAUGGAAUUAUCUCCUUUAUUAGUGGGAAGCUACAUUCUAUGAUUACUUUGCCUCGUAUAAGUCUUUUUUUUUUUCUGUAGAACUUGCUUACACCAUGGUUAUGACGGAGAAAUGUGAUGUUUAUAGCUUUGGAGUAGUGACACUUGAAGUAUUAAUGGGAAAGCAUCCAAGGGACCUUCUUUCGUCAUUAUCAUCAUCAUCUGAUCCAAAAAUCAUGUUGAUUGAUGUUUUAGACCAACGUCUUCCACUUCCAAUUGAUCAAAAGGUCAUUCAAGAUGUCCUUCUUGUUUCAACAGUUUUAUUUGCAUGCUUGCAAUCGAACCCAAAGUCUCGACCUACAAUGCAAUCCGUGUCUCAAGAAUUUCUCAUCACUCGCAAGACUCCAUUGGUAAAGCAUGCUGCUAUUCAAGAUAUUUCCAUCUCACAACUUAAAAACUAACAAAGGAUGUAUUUGAUUGAUCAAUGUAUUUCGUUGAUAGUAUUUUGUAAAACUUUGGUGAGAAUGAAUUUUGGUUUCAUGAAACCGUUACCUUUCUUGAGUAAAACUGAAAGUAACUCUUCUAAAGUGAAGUUGGUGCUUCCAAUCUAAACGAUUACAUCUUUAACUAUUUUUUCUGUGUGAAUUGCAUGUGCAAAUAAUAAGGUCAGCAAGUUUUGCUAUUGUGUUCGGAAAUCUUCUUCCAUCCACAUUAUUUUUAUAAAUUAAUAUCGUGUGCAAUAUCUGCCUCUCGUUUUCAUCUUUCAACCUGAAAUGACCCGCCUCGAAACCCCCCAAGCGAGUCUAUUUAGUCUCAUCAAAAUGGACUUGAUAAUAAUUUUAUUCGUAAAGAUUCUGCCGAAAAUUCGGCAGAGUCUCCUUUAUAUAUAUAACACUCUCAAUCUACAAAUAUGAAUAUAACACUCCCAAUACAAUUCAAUAUACAACAAACUCAUUGCUCAACAUCCUCAACCAAAAUGCUGAGUUUUAUAUCUCCAGAGUCUCAAAAGAUAAUAUUAUAACUAAUAUUAAUAUCUCAAGUUAUUCUUAAUACCAAAAGAAGGUAACAAAAGUAUACAAUCCCAAAAGAAUAAGAUGACCAAGAUGUUCUAACAAAAACAUCUAUAUCUUCUAACACCAUCACGUGGCCAAGACUCAAAAUAUGUUUAUAGUCGCUGGGUCGGUCUGAUGUACCUGCAACCUCCUGGUGAGGGGAAAAAAUAUAAUAAAAACGAGGUGAGUUUAAAACUCAGUGAGAUCAGUGAGUGGAUAGUAGAUUUGAAAAUUAAUUUUUACUUUAGAGAAAUAACCAUAUCAUUUCCAAACACGAUUUCAUUAAACUAUAAGCGAGAAACCAGUAAUAAAUCAUUAAACAUUUAAAUCAAAUUACUAACCAUGCAAAUCAUAUCACAAUAUUAUAUAGAAUUCACAAAUCUAAAAAUCAUCACCAAACAAGUACCCAAGGAAAUAAUCUCGUCAUAUCUGGACCUCAACGGACGGGCAAUGACGUACUAUUUGGGUAACGUCACGCCCUGGAGCUACACGGAUAGACAGGAAAAUAUCAUCUCAUAUCUCAUCAUAUCUAUGCAUGCAUAAUCUAGUCCCCAAGGGACAAAAGCGCCCAAGCACACGGCCCAAAGCCUCUGUGUGUACUCAGACGGGCCCCAAAGGCCUGUAUCUCAUCUGUAUCAUCUGUAUCUCAAUAUCUGUCUGUAUCUCAUAUCUGUAUCACUGUAAUCAUCAUACCUCAUGCAUAUGCCCCCAAAAGGCAAAAGCGCCCAAACACACGGCCCAAAGCCUCUAUGUAUGUUCAGACGGGCCCCAAAGGCCUCUCAUCUCAUAUCACAUGUAUCACUGUAUCUGGAGGGAAAGGGUACUAUCUAAUGAUUUCAAAAACAAUCAUUAUACUUAUAUUCACAUACCUCUUAACCAUAUUUUAAAUCAUACCACAUUUGAAUCCACUUAUCUUUAAAAUACUAUCAUGCUUUAUUCAAAAUCGAUACGCAAAAUUAUUAACCCAACAUUUCGAGGAAUCAUUAAAUCAGAACAUUUAAAAUACUUAUUUCGCAAACAUGCUUUACUAUCAUAAUUAACUAUGAAAAUAGGUUUGUAUAUUCCACUCACAGUGACGGUGUUCACAGUCGGUUAUCGUUCACGUCUGCGGACUAGUUCUCGCUCGCGGAUCCUUCUAAAUCAAGGAAACGACAUAAUUAUAUUCCGUAAAUCGGAAUUACGACUAAAUUUAUGCAAUAAACUUGAAACGAACAUUUAUCCAUACUUUACAACUCUCGUGUCGACAAAAUUACUAAAAUGCCCUUGAGUCCGUAGAUCAUUAACAUGCUCCGAAAUCAUAAAUCACCGAAUUACCCUCGAAAUCGUAAUUACACCCAAUGCUCAAUUCUAGGAAUUACUAAAAUAUCCAUAGGCUCAGAAAUUACAAAAUUGCCCUCAUAGUGUGAAAUUACCAAAAUGCCCUUGCCGGUCAACGGUCACCGGAAUUUGGUCAACACUAGUCAGGAAGCUCAAAUCUUAAAGUUCCAAUCACGCUGAGUUCAAUGGUACCGGCAGUGAGCUCCAACGCGCGGCAAUGAUGCCAGAAUCUAGAUCGGCAGUUGUGAAUGGUCGGAAAUGGAAGAGAGAGUCGUGAGGAACAAAAUCCAACCGGUGGUGUCACCCAAAACCAGCGAAAAUCCCGGUGGAGUAAAGUGAAACAGUCGCGGGUUUCAAGCUUCGAUCACCGGCAUUCCGGUUGGUUUUCGGCGGCGAGGAUGGCAGGGGAAGGACGGUCGGCUUCUAAGCUUCAGAUUGGUACCAAGAGCGGCCGAAGCGGUGGCCGGAAAUGGGAGAUAUGGCCGAGUCAAGGUAGCGGGUUGGGUUUUCGGGUUGUAAUUGGGUCGGUUUGGCAGCUUUUCUCUCACUCUCUGUUACACGUGCAUAUGUUUCCUCUGUUUCCAGCUUAUUCUUUUGCUUAUAAAAUCCUUAACCGCCUCAUUUUCAUUUUAAAUUCACAGAUGUUACACAACCGCACAAAUAAAUAAUCAUAACAAAUAGCAAUAAUUGUUGUAACUCAUGAGUUCUCAGAACUGUAAAUCAGAGUGGGAAUAUUUCCAUAUUGUGGCAUGACACGGGCUUUUCUUCUCAAUCAAAUUUUUAAAAAUUUUGGAUUCUCUAUUUCACUAUUUAAUUGAGUAGACUGCAGAUAUAAAUGUAGACAAAUUGUUAGCCUUACUUCACAGAAGUUUCAUUGCAAGUCGUUUUGCAUUGGCGCAUAAGAGUGAUCAAUUGAAUUGGAACGGCAAUGUUGAAGUUGAUAUGGUAAAAGCGAAAAUGACUAGAUAUUCCGCAAAGUCUAAAAUUCAAGAAAUUGAAGCACCAAUCAAGUGAUCAAAUUUUCUCAUGUAAUUAAUUAUCAUCAAUUGGCUUGAAGGUCAUCAAGAAGGUACUGGAUUGACAAAUUAAAUUACAUUGCUCUACUAUUGCAGUAAUAGGUUCUUGAAAGACUUUAGAGACUCAGAUUUUUUUUUUAUAAAUUUAUUUUAUUAUUAGGAUAUUUAUUAUUUUUUAAUUUUUGGGCUUUUUUUUAAUUGCUAUUUGAUGAGAGUGCAUGUGUUUGAGUUGGAGUGAGUGAGAAUGUAUUAGUUUUAAUAAUUCGAUUAUUUUUCCCCAAUCUUUGGUUAGGGUUGUAUUUUCUUUUUUCUUUUUCUUUUUUUUUACGGUCUUGAUAUUAUAUUAUAUUUUAAUUAUAAAAAUUGGUAUUGUUAUUUAUCUUCUUCGCUUCCAAAUUCUGCUAGUCCUAUUGGCUUGGCCACUAAACAGAAAAACUCCCAGAGACGGUUUCUAUUAUAAGUAUUGUUAAUUUUAAGUAUAUUAGUACAAAAACUAGCUGAAGGAAAUUGACUUUAAAUAAGAAAAAAAAAUCUAUUUAGGUGAUUAAAAUCUAAAGUUAAUUGAAAAUCUAUUGCAAAUUAAUAAUUCAAAAUCCGUGUCAUUAUUUUAAGGCAAAAAUUUAUCAAGAAAAUUUGAACUGGGAUAGUUUUAUGUAGUUUCGUAUUUUCAAUUUUGAAUGGGCCGGUUUAAUAAUUAGACCAUCUAAUUAAAUCAUCAUACUUAUCUUGAAAUUCAAUUUUAGUCCUCACAUAGUUUCGGUGCUUUUCGAAAAUCUUAAUGGCAUUCGAAGUCUUCAUCUUGAUUUGGAUUCAACCAUAUCUGUUUUUCUUUUUUUUUUUUCAGGUUUCAUUUACACCAAAUUUUCUCCAUUAUCCAUUUGCAAAUGAAUAGUGAAUCCCCCAGGAAUAUGCAAAACCUGUGAGGUUGAUACAAAGUAAUUAACAAAUCUUGGUUUGCAGACAAUUGAUUGUAAUCAGUUUCCAACUCUUUUCAUUAUCUUCUGAAAGCAACUUGCAUCUUUUGAGGUUAACUGAUGAAGAAGAUACUCAAAAAUACAAACAAGAAAUUAAAAACAAAGGCAACAAGCAAGAGACAUGCAAAUUUAGAGUGCCCCUCUCUGUGUGAGGCUAAUGGUCAAUUUUGGAAUUAUUGUUGGAAUAGUCAAAAUUGAUUUUUUGAAAUUAACUACAAACGUGUGUACCUUGCUGUUCGGUAAAUUAGUUUAUUUGGCUUCAGCCCGACAUAUAUUAAUUUGGCACUUAAAAAUUAAGAAAAAAAAAGAAUCUUUUGGAUUAAACGAACUUGGAAAGAAGCUACACUUGUAGACAAAUUAUAUAGCCCCGAAAGACCUUGACUCCAAAAGAAAUCUACUUCAAUCUUUGAAAAAUUUUGAUACAAGUUCUAAAUUUUCCACAAGAUAUCCCAAAAUGUAAUUUUCAAACAAUUGUUGUUGGUGUUGUCUAGCUCGUUUUAGACGUUUAGGAAUUGUUAGAACUUGUAUAAGGACAAUGACUUCUUGAGUCAUGAAUAAAAGACCAUUUAUGGAUUAAUAAAAGUCUGUGUGGCUCCAAAACCAAUUUUUACUGAUUAUUUGAUUAUUUUUAUUGCCAGAAUGACACAAAUUACAAAUUUAUAGAGUAGAAAAUAAUAAAACAAGAGUUGAAAAAAAUUAUAGUACUAGUUAUUUUACAAGGGUAGUUCUGUCAAUUUGAUUGAUGAUUGAUACAAUAAACUAGAGGUGAAAAAUUAAACAAAUUUAAAAUUUUGAAGUAUUUUUUAUAAUAAAGCAAGCUUAGGGUGGAUAACCGAUAAUUUUCCUGUCAUUAUUAACCAAAUCCUCCAAUUUUUAUUUAUUUAUUUGGAAGCUACUCUACCAGGGCCCAGGGUUAUUAGUAAAUUUGUGAUUGCUAAUCACGAAUAAAAGAGAAAAACAACAAAAAAAGCAAUGUUAUUGAGAAUAAUCAAAAUAUAUAUGUAGAUUUAAACCAAUCAUAUUCACAAACCAAAUUCCCUCAAAAGCCUUAAAGGCCAGAGAAGACUUUGACUCACUAUUGUGAUUGAAAAACAUGUGUGGCGAUUAAUGUACGGGAGGAGGAUUUAACGCGGGAAGAAAAAUAGAAGAUGACUGAGUCUGCUCAUGGUGUCCUUUUCCAGGGUUAAAAUGUUUAUAUAAACUUUGUAAGAGCUUGCUGAAUCCAAUAGCUCAAUCAACCGAAAAGUUAAUUAUAAGCAUGGAUCCGGCAUCCUCCAUUUUCAGAUUGGCAACCCUUGUAUGGGUUGCAAUUUUUACAUGCGAUAACGCUGCUGGUAGAAGUGGUACAUUUGUGACAGCAUCUGCUUUGUCACCCAUACAGUUAGAAAAGGAAGCUUUACUCAAUACUGGCUGGUGGAACAGCAGCUUGUCGCCGGCCGACUACUCUUCGGAUCACUGCAAGUGGACUGGCAUCACUUGCAAUUCAGCUGGAAGCAUAAUCGGGCUACAUUUAUCAAAGGAUAAUGUUAACUUCAAUGGGCGGCUUAGCCACUUAAACUUCUCUUGCUUUCCGAACCUCGAAAGUCUCAGAAUCCAGGCCUAUUAUGAUGGUUUUACUGGAAGCAUACCAUCAGAAAUUAGUGCUCUUUCAAAACUCCAACUGCUGGACUUGUCCUCGAACAGGCUUAGAGGUAACCUGCAAAUUUAACUUCAUUACCGCAUGUUAUUUGAGCAAAGAUAUUUAAAUGGAUAAGUUUGAGAGAAUACUGACAAAAACAAAGGCAAACCAGGCCUAUUUUAUCAUAUUAAUUGAAAAAAAAAAUUAAUUAACACGGUAAAAACACAUUUCUACUAUUGUUCUUAUUAAUAUCAACGUUUAAUUUCUUUAGUAUUUUUUUUGUUAUUUUCGUAAAUGGAUAACAUAAAUGUAUGACAGGUACUAUCCCUUCACAGAUUGGGAAUUUGAGGAAUCUCGUCUAUCUGAAUGUAUCUGAUAACGUCCUUACUGGACCUGUUCCUUCAACUCUAGGCCGUUUAACCAAUUUGAAUUAUAUGAGCCUCUCUCGCAACCUGCUCGGUGGUCUACUACCUCAGGAAAUUGGGAACCUGAAGAAUUUGAUCGAGUUGGAUGUGGGCGAUAACAGCCUAAUUGGGCCUAUUCCUUUAACUCUAAGUCGUUUAACCAGCUUGAAAAAGUUGAGCUCAAAUCAGAACCAGCUCAAUGGUCUGCUACCUCAGGAAAUUGGGAAUCUGAAGAAUUUAAUGUUGUUGGACGUGGGCAACAACGACAUAAUUGGGCCUAUUCCUUCAACUCUAGGUCUUUUGUCCGAUUUGAGCUAUUUGGAUCUUAGUUGUAACCAAUUCAACAGCUCAAUUCCAAAUGAGCUCACCCGUUUAACUCAACUUUUUCAUCUUGAUCUUUCCUCAAAUAAACUUUCUGGAAAAAUUCCUUCACAGAUAGCAAGUAUGGAGAUUUAACCUGUUUGGACCUAUCAAUAACAACAUAAAGUUCAAUUCCCGGUGAGAUCACCAGUUAUCUCGACUUGAUUAUCUAAUCUUUCCGUAACAAACUUUCUGGCCGAGUACCGUAUUCAAAUAAACAUCUCUCAGCAUGCCUACGGUAAGACUUUAUGCUAACAAGGGUUUAUGCGGCAAUAUUCUUGAUCUUCAUUCAUGCCAUACAACCAAACCUGCCACUCUCUUUGUUGAAAUUUUUCUUCCCCUCGCCAUAGUCUUCUCAGUCAUAGUCUUUGCAUGCUUACUACUCAUUAAACGUUACGAGAAACCCAAACUCAAGACAAGAGUAACCAAUAGCAUAGACGUAUUUUCAAUAUGGAAUUAUGAUGGUAGAAUUGUCUUCGAGCAUUUGAUUGAAGCCACGGAAGAUUUUGACAGUAAAUAUUGCAUUGGUACCGGAGCCUAUGGCAGCGUCUAUAAGGCACAGCUUCCCAACGGCAGAGUAUUUGCACUGAAAAAGCUUAACAGUCCAGAAACAGAGGAAUUAGCUUUCAUCAGGAGUUUCCGAAAUGAGGCUCAAGUACUUUCUCAAGUGCUGCACCGUAAUAUUGUCAAACUAUACGGUUUUUGCUUUAACAGAAAAUGCAUGUUUCUCAUUUACGAGUACAUGGAGAGAGGAAGCUUAUUCUGCAUUUUACACAAUGAUGAUGAAGCCGUAGAGUUGGAUUGGGCUAAGAGGGUGAACAUUGUAAAAGCCAUGGCACAUGCUUUGGCAUACUUGCAUCAUGACUGCUCACCAUCAAUUGUUCACCGCGACAUAUCCAGCAACAACAUUCUACUUAACUCAAAAUUGGAAGCAUUUGUCGCUGACUUCGGCACCGCUAGGCUUCUACAUGCUGAUUCGUCCAAUCAAACUCUUUUAGCAGGAACAUAUGGAUAUAUUGCUCCAGGUUUACCCAUAUGAUCUAUUCUUCUCACGAUCGAUCCUUAUUUACUUGGUGCAAUUUUAUUUUAUUUUACUUUAUAUUGCAUUCAUAUUCCAUAACAUCUCUUUUAAAUAGCUAGCUUGCUGGCUGGCUACAGGAACUCACAAAUACAAUUCUCUCUUUUUUUAAUGGAAGCUACAUUCUACGAUUACUUUGCCUCAUAUAAAUCCUCUACUUUCUUUUUUUUCCUGUUCAGAACUUGCCUACACUAUGGUUGUAACAGAGAAAUGUGAUGUUUAUAGCUUUGGAGUAGUUACACUCGAGGUAUUAAUGGGAAAGCAUCCAAGAGACCUUCUUUCAUCAUUAUCAUCAUCAUCUGAUCCACAAAUCAUGCUGAUUGAUGUUUUAGACCAACGUCUUCCACCACCAGUUGAUCAACAGGUUAUUCAAGAUAUCCUUCUUGUCUCAACAAUUUCAUUUGCAUGCUUGCAAUUGAACCCAAAGUCUCGACCAACAAUGCAAUCCGUGUCUCAAAAACUUCUCAUCACUCGCAAGACUCCAUUGAUGAAGCAUGCUGCUAUUCAGGAUAUUUCCAUCUCAGAACUUAGAAAAUAAGAAAUGUAUUUGAUUGAUCAAUAUGAUUGCUAAUCUUAAAUGUAUCUCAUUGAGAGUAUUUUGCAAAAUUUGUUGAGGCUGAAUUUUGGUUUUAUGAAACCGUUACCUUUGUUGUAAAAAGAUUAAAAUAACUCUUCUAAAGCGAAAUUGGUAUUUCCAAUCUAAAGUAUUAUCUUUAUUGUUUUUGAGUGAAUUGCAUGUGUAAAUAAGGUCAAAACAUUUUGCUAUUGUGCGUUGGAAAGCUUCUUCCAUCCACAUUAUUCUAAUAAACAUUAGUUGCAAUAUCUGCCUUAUCUUUCAACUGGACAAGUAAAUAAUCAAAUCAAUAAUAAUAAUAAUUGUAACUCAUGAGUUCUCUCAACUGCAAAUCAAAGUGGGAAUAUUUCCAUGUUGUGGGAUGACAUGGACUUUUCUUCUCAACAAAUUUUAAAAAAUUCCAGAUCCUCUUUUUGACUAUUUAAUUGAGUAGACUGCAUAUAUAAAUGUAGACAAAAUUAUUAGCCGUAUUUCACAGAAGUUUCAUUGCAUGUGGUUUGCAUUGGCGCAUAAGAGUGAUGAAUUGAUUUCAUUUUUAAUUCAUGAAUUUUAAUAUCCAUAGAAACAGAAGAUGCAACUUAAACUUAAGGAUUUUUAAUUUUAAUUAUAUUUAGUACAAAAACUAGUUGAGGGAAAUUGACUUUAAAUAAGAAAAAAAAAUCUAUUUGGGUGGUUAAAAUCUAAAGUCAAUUGGAAAUCUAUUGCAAAUUAAUAAUUCAAAAUUCGCGUCAUUAAUUUUAGCAAAACAUUCUCAGGAAAAAUUGAAGUGGGAUAGUUUUAUCAAGUUUCACACUUUCAAUUUCAAAGGGGACGGUUUAAUAACUAGACUAUCUAAUUAAAUCAUCACACUUAUCUUGAAAUUCAUUUUUUUCCUCAGACACUUUAUAUUAAUCAACAUAUAUAAAAUUUUAAUGGAUACACGGUGCUUUUCCAAAAUCUUAAUGGCAUUCGAAGUCUUUAUCUUGAUUUGAAUUCAACCAUAAAUGUUUUUUUUUUAAGGUUUUAUUUAUACCAAAUUUCUCCAUUAUCCAUUCGCAAAUGAAUAUUGAAUCACCUGGGAAUCAAACAAAACCAACACAAGAGAUUUAUUCAGCAGUCUAAAAGCUUCCAAUUUUCUAGGAUUCUCUCAAGUUAACAGGUCUUGAAAACUUGUGAGGUUGAUUCAAAGAAAUUAAUUAACAAAUCUUGGUUUGCACACAAUUGAUUGUAAUCAGUUUCCAACUCUUUUCAUUAUCUCCUGAAAGUAACUUGCAUCUGUUGAGGUUAAAGGACGAAGAAGAUACUCAAAAAUACUUUAUUCGAGAGAGCAAUAAAUACAAAACAAAAGCAACAAACAAGAGACAUGCAAAUUUAGAAUGCUCUCGCUAUGUGAAGCUAAUGGUCAAUAUUGGAAUUAUAAUUCGAAUAGUCGAAAUUGAUUAUGUUUGGGAGAAAUACGUCGACGAGACCAGGCAUGAUGAACAGAUAUCUGAUGGUAGAGUUCUGCGAACCGGUGUGUCCCGUAAGAGCCUGGUAUCCGGGGGAGCAAGAGCAGGAAUAUCCUGCUCAUCCACGAGCACGUCAUCCGCGAGGCCAAUUUCCUGUAAGAAGCAUAAAGCCAUUUCUGCUGUAUUCAUGCUAAGUGUUGAUUCGAGGAGACCCGGUCAAUGACAGUUGGCGAGGCAUGCUCUCCAAUCCGAGAAUCUAGGCACGAUGGCCACGCAACCACCCACAACUACGGAAAUGGGGAGUCCACGUUCGAGAGGUGGGAGGAUAACGAGCGCGAAUGGAGGGGAGACCCGAGCUCAGAAGUAGCCUAUAAAAAAGUAGCCAACAAAGGUAAAAGGGUUAGCAAUUUUGAGAUUAUAACAGAGAUUAAGGAAAUUCUAAAGAAGAGAAAACUACCAAAAAGCCAUAAGAUCUGUGGCAAGCGUUCCCAGAGCCUUCAUAUCUGACUUGAGCGUCGGAGGGUUUACGUCGGGAAAACAACCGGCGUGCUCUGACUUGUUUUUGUGGACGCAGGAAUACUUGGAGAAGAAAGCAUACGAGGAGAGAUCCUGGUCGAGGUGAGGUUGAUCGAACAGAUAUCCUGGUCGUAGGAAGAGCGUAACCAGAAUCUCGCAUUAACAUUUUGGCGCCGUCUGUGAGGAGACUGAGCAAAAAGCUUCUGUUGAUAGCAAGAAGAGGAGGGAAGCAACCGAAAAGCAAUGGAGAUAGGAGGAAGUAGUGCACAAGUGGGUGAUAUGAGGCUUAACGAUUCCGUGACGCUGAGGGAGAUAGCCAGUGAAGCACGAGAAAAAGCCAUGUUCGACCGGAUGGAACGGAUGGAAAAGCAGAUGGAGACCUUGACAACCAUCCUGCAUGAGCUGCGGAGCGAACAAAGGGUAACCCAGGAGGAAAGGGUGAGAGGUGGUGGAGUGGCACCAGGUCCCGAUAGUACGAGGAGAAGUCAAACCACCGGGAGAUUUGGUGGUGAGAGAGGUAACAUACCUCUGCGGGGAGAAUUUCAUAGAGAGGAAGAACAAUCCCCGGCAAGACAAAUUUUCGACGAGGACAAUGGGGUGGCGAAUGCAGAGGAAACAGAGUUGAGGCAACACUUGCAUGAUGUAGAGCAAGAGCGGGAUCAAGUUGCAGCACGUGACCCUGGUCAUGCAAUGCAGCUGGAGGAGGAAGUGCGCAGACUAGCGCAGAUAAUUGACCAUAUGCAAGGAAUGAGCAGAGCUCCUGGUUGGAGGAUAAUGCUGGACGGAGAAUCACCGCUCGCAGCAGAGAUCAUGAGGGCAGUUAUUCCGAGAGAUUUCCGCCUCCCAGACCUUAGAUAUUCGGGAAGAACUGAUCCGCUGGUGCACAUAGAGCGCUUCAACGACAUAACUGGGGUACAAGGAUUAUCUAAAUCCCAAAGGUGCAGGGUGUUCCCACUAUCCCUUAAGGGACGUGCAAGAGAGUGGUACAGAAAACUUCCUCGGGGGAGUAUUAAAACCUUCGAGCAGAUGUGCCAAGAAUUUGCAGAGCAGUUUAGUGGGGCAAUGGCACCAGAAGAUGACAUGAUGGAGCUGAAAAGCAUGAAACAGGGGGAGCAAGAAACCCUUCGGGAAUUCAUCAAGAGGUUUCAUCGUGCUGUCCUCAACUUGGGAGCCUUCAACCACCCUCAGGCGUUAAGAGGAUUGAAAGAAGGGGUGAAGAUAGGAAGGUUGUGGUACAACUUGAGAAGCCCAGUUAUUCAGACGUAUACGGCCGCGUACGAGCAGGCUAAGAGAGACAUCGAGAUUGAAGAGGAAAAGGCAGCACAGAUUAAGACAGACCAGUUGGAAGGGUUGGGUAGGAAAGAGAAGAAAGCAUUACCAGGGAAUGGGCCGAUCAGGAGAAGGGACCACCAGGCCUCGGGUAGUGGAGCAGGAGGUCGGGUAACUGCUUACUAGCCUCAUCAGAGGCCACCACAGUAUCAGCGCAGCAGGGCGCAACCUCCUCGUUCCCCAGCUAGGGAACCUUGGAGAAGGCAUGAUUCAGCAUAUGGUGGUCUUCAUCAACACUCCCACGGUAGCAGAGGGAGCAGACCAGAAGUACUGCCACCGCCCCCAACGCAGAACGGAGUAAACAGAGAAAGAGCAGUGCACCUGAUCGACCAGAACCAGGACUAUGGGCGGUAUAAUUCCUUGAAGAUGUCCUUGGAUGAGGUGUAUGAGGCCAUAAAGGAUCGAGGGUUGUUGUACCUCCCUGCCCCAAUAACAAAGCUACCCAGCAUGAGGGAUAGGGGAUGCUAUUGUAAGUUCCAUGGCACUCAUGGCCACACCACAGCAGGUUGCAGGGAUCUCAAGACCCAGGUUGAAGAUUUGGUGAGAAAUCAGUAUCUGGACGAGUUUAUAGAUGGGAUCUUCCCGAUGGUAGCCUCGACAAGUGAAGGGGAGCAGAGUGACAGGAACUUGAGGCGCGAGCAGCCUACGGUAAAGGUGAUAGCUGGGGGCCCAACAUUGGCUGGAAAUUCCAACAGGUCGAGGAAGAAUUAUGCUAGAUACGCCAUGACCAGCAAAGAGGUGUUCUUCAACACCCCAGCAGCCAAACGUGCAAGAGUCAGGCAAGUGCCAAUCAUGUGGAUAGAUGAGGAUGAGGAAGGGAUUUUAUACCCUCACGAGGAUGCUUUGGUCAUCAAGGCCACUGUUGCUAGCAAGAAGUUUGACAGGAUACUGGUUGACAUAGGGAGCUCAGUUGACGUAUUGUUUAAAUCAACCCUGGAGGAGAUGGGGAUAGCAGACCUGAAGUUGGAUUACACCAAUACCUCUUGAAGGGGUUUGGAGGAGGAAAGCUCGUCCCUCUGGGCGUGAUCGAGCUGCCUAUCACGAUUGGGAGUUCCCCGACAGAAAGGACAAUGAUACUGGACUUUGUAGUAGUGGAUGAGGAAGGUCCUUACCAAAUGAUCCUAGGCCGGCCAUUUCUGAGGAUGAGCAAAGCGGUGCUGUCCAACCAUUAUCUGGCUCUCAAGUACCGGGUGAAUGGGAUAGUUGGAGUGGUACGAGGAGACUAGAGAAUCGCAAGGAGCUGCUACUCCUCGGCAGCAAGGGAAGCAAUGCAGAUAACAUCCCUUGAUACCCGAGUGGAAAACAAGAAUGGCAGAUAAGAACCUGUUGAGGAGCUGGAGACAGUAAGCCUGGGACCAGAGAAUCCGGGAAAGACGAUCAGAAUCGAGUCGAGACUUAAGGAAGAGCAGAAGUAUGAGUUGGUGAAAUGCUUACAGGCUUAUGCAGAUGUGUUUGCUUGGACACAUGAAGACAUGCUAGGGAUUGAUCCUGAGGUAGCAUGCCAUAAGCUGGCAAUAAAGAAAGGUGCUCGAGCAGUAAGGCAGAAAAGGAGGUGCUUCAACCAGGAGAGGUAUGAGGCUAUAAAUGGCGAGGUGGAGAAGCUCUUGAGAGCAUGGUUCAUUUGGGAAGUCAAUUACCCUGAGUGGAUAUCGAAUGUGGUGUUGGUAAAAAGGCAAAUGGCAGGUGGAGGAUGUGUGUGGAUUUCACAGACCUUAAUAAGGCGUGCCCAAAAGACAAUUUUCCUUUACCAAAGAUCGAUCAGCUAGUAGAUUCAACGGCUGGACACGGUCUGCUUAGCUUCAUGGACGCGUUCUUGGGAUACAACCAGAUCCCCAUGCACGAGCAAGAUGAGGAGAGCACGGCUUUCAUCACUAACCAGGGUUUGUUCUAUUACAGGGUAAUGCCAUUUGGACUUAAAAACGCUAGGGCCACAUACUAGAGGCUGGUGAACAAAGUCUUUAAGCUAUUGAUCGGGAGAACCAUGGAGGUGUACGUGGACGACAUGAUAACCAAGUCGAAAAUCCCGAAAGAACAUGUCGGACACCUUGAGGAGACAUUCGGGCUUUUGAGGAAGUAUAAGAUGAAGCUCAACCUGGAAAAAUGUGCUUUUGGGGUCGAGUCGGGGAAGUUCUUCGGAUUCAUGGUGAGUCAUCGGGGAAUCGAAGCAAAUCCCGAGAAGAUCCAGGCGAUCGUGCAGAUGAGGUCUCCUCGUAGCCUGAAGGAGAUGCAGAGCCUUACGGGGAGGUUGGCGGCAUUGAGCCGGUUCAUAUCCAAGGCUACAGAUAAGUGUCAGUCAUUCUUUCAAGUGAUAAGGAGGAGAAAGAAAACAGAGUGGACCCCGGAAUGCAAGGAAGCUUUUCAGAACUUGAAGCAGUAUUUACAGCAAGCCCCUCUGCUAUCCACACCGAGGGAUGGGGACAAGUUAUUUUUGUAUCUGGCGGUAUCGGAUCGGGCCGCCAGUUCUGUUCUGGUGAGAGAGGAAGAGGGAGUUCAAUAUUCGAUAUACUACACCAGCAAGACCCUGCUCGACGCUGAGACCAGAUACCUACUGUUGGAGAAAUGGGCACUUGCCCUUGUGGUUGCUGCUCGGAAGUUGAGGCCAUAUUUUCAGGCAUUCCCAGUCUCGGUAAUAACAAACCAGCCAUUGCGUCAAACUCUGCACAAGCCAGAUGCUUCUGGCCGGCUCGUCAAGUGGGCUAUAGAGCUGAGCGAGUUCGAUAUAGACUACAAACCCCGAGCAGCGAUAAAGGCUCAGGCAAUGGCCGAUUUCGUAGCAGAAUUCACAGAGCCUGAAGUAUGUCUUGACCAAUGAGAUGCAGCUACAGACAGUGGCGAAGCUCAAGUAUGGCAAAUGUCUGUAGAUGGGUCAUCAGGGGAGCAGGGAUUGUAUUGGAAGGCCCGGAGGGGGAGGAGAUCUCUUAUGCAGUAAAGUUAGAAUUCGCAGCAACAAAUAACCAGGCAGAGUAUGAAGCCUUGAUAGCAGGUUUGGAACUGGCUAAGGCCGUGAGAGCAGAUAGAGUGAAGAUCAGAACUGAUUCCCAGCUGGUUGCGAAUCAUGUCAGUGAGAGAUUCCAACCGAGAAAGGAGAAGAUGGAGCAGUACCUGAAGAUAGUCAGGCAGAUGAUGGGGAAAUUCGAAGCGGUGGAGGUGGUACAAAUCCCCAUGGAGCAGAAUAGUCGAGCAGAUAUUCUGGCCAGGAUGGCAGCAGUAGCCGACCCAAAAAUGCCAAAGUCAGUCCCACUGGAGGUGAAGUCCAGCCCAAGUAUCGAGCAUAAUUUGGGGGUGCUGCGGAUAUAACAAAAAUGCUCGUGGAUGGACCCGAUAAUUUCAUACCUCAGAGACGGGGUAUUACCUCUAGAUAAGCUGUGAGCUCAGAAGGUUAGAGCUCAGGCCUCGAGAUACACGAUGAUUGAUGGGGUACUGUAUCGGCGAGGAUAUACACUACCUUUCCUUCGAUGUUUGGAUGAGGACAACGCAGAUUACGUACUGAGAGAAGUACAUGAAGGAAUUUACGGGAAUCAUUCUGGUGGGAGGUCCUUGGCCCACAAGGUUCUAAGGUAGGGAUAUUUCUGGCCGACAAUGCACCAGGAUGCACAGGAGAAGACCAGGAGCUGUGUAAGCUGCCAGAGUUUUGCAAGUUUCUCCAACCAACCACCAGAGAAGCUCACCUCUAUGGCCUCCCCUUGGCCAUUUGCUUAAUAGGGAAUUGAUCUGAUCGGCCCGCUGCCAAAGGGACGAGGAGCAGAACGCAUGCAAUAGUUGCUAUAGAUUACUUCACGAAGUGGAUAGAGGUCGAAGCCCUUAGCAGGAUUACAGAGAAGAAAACGACAGACUUUGUGUGGAGAAACCUGGUUUGUCGAUACGGGAUCCCUUAUGCCUUGGUAACGGAUAAUGGCAGGCAGUUCGAUAAUCACAGCUUCAGGGAUUUCUGCCAGAACCUCGGGAUAGAGCUGAAGUAUUGCUCACCUGCUCACCUGCUCACCCUCAAUCGAAUGGACAAGUAGAAGCAGCCAACAAGACCAUCAAGAGGCUUUGAAAACCAGGCUUGGAGCAAAAAAAGGGUGCAUGGGUUGAUGAGCUGUCAGGUGUUUUAUGGGCAUACAGGACAACCCACAAAAUAGCAACUGGGGAGACACCGUUCGCCUUGGCUUUCGGACAUGAAGCGGUCGUGCCAGCUGAGAUAGGAACGACCACGCAUCGAACAGAUCAUUUCAAUGAGCAGGAGAACGACGAGCAGAUAUGUUUGAAUCUUAAUCUGCUAAUGAAAAAGAGGGAGCAAGCAGCCGAGCGAUCAGCCAUUUACCAGCAGAGGGUUGCUCGGUAUUAUAACCAGAAGGUGAACAUACGGCAGUUCAGGGUCGGAGAUUGGGUGUUAAGGAGAGUGAAUCAGAACACUAAAGACUCGACUCAAGGAGUGCUCGGUCUGAAUUGGGAGAGGCCAUAUAGAGUCAAGCAACUAGUUGGACCAGGAGCUUACAAGCUGGUUCACAUGGAUGGCCACGAGGUGAAACGCCCAUGGAACGUAGCACAUCUCAGGAAAUAUUUCCAGUAAGAGUCGUUAAUAUUUUCAAGUUCUUUCUGUUCGUAUUUGCUGUUAUUUAUUUUAUGUCCAAACAAUUUCGUGUAAGUUGAAUCCUGCAAUUAAUGGAACGUCGAGGAAUUUCAUUCACUUGAAAUUGUGAAAAUUUUCUAAGGCAUGCAAAGGCUCGCCAAGUCUCAAAGCCUGUUUAUGGCGAAACAGAAGCCAAGCGUGCCAGGAUCUGCUCGACCACGCGAAGGCGAGCAGAAUCCCCAAGCAUCGGAAUAUUUUCUAAGGAAUGCAAAGGCUCGCCAAGUCUCAAAGCCUGUUUAUGGCGAGACAGAAGCCAAGCGUGCCAGGAUCUGCUCGACCACGCGAAGGCGAGCAGAAUCCCCAAGCAUCGGAAUAUUUUCUAAGGCAUGCAAAGGCUCGCCAAGUCUCAAAGCCUAUUUUAUGGCGAGACAGAAGCCAAGCGUGCCAGGAUCUGCUCGACCACGCGAAGGCGAGCAGAAUCCCCAAGUAUCGGAAUAUUUUCUGAGGCAUGCAAAGGCUCGCCAAGUCUCAAAGCCUAUUACGGCGAGACUAGAAGACAAGCGUGCCAGGUUCUGCUCGACCGCGCGAAGGUGAGAAGAAUCCCCAAGCAUCAAAAAAUUGUCUAAGGCAUGUGGCAAAACCAUAUGCCACGCCAGAACCUGCUCAACCAGACGAAGACGAGCAGAAUAGCAAAAGAAAAAUAACUCAUGAUUACAACACAAGAAAGUAAUCAAAUAUUUUUAUUAAUUUGUUAAUAAUUAACAAAGGAGAUAAUCUUCACAAACAUUGUUCAUUACAAUACAAGAAAUAUAUCAAGAAGAUGGCGGAUCAGUAAGCCGAGCAGUAUCGGCUGGCUGGACCUCCUCAGGUGCAGGGGGGUAUCACUAGUUGCGUCCGGGGGGGUGCUCGCCUCGCCAACGUUAGCAGGGACUACACGAGGAGGAGAGUUUUCCUCCUCAAUCACGAUCGGCUCUACCCCUUCGGCAUCUUCCUUGGCCGCCUCCUCGUCCAUAUGUUGAGCAACACCAGCUGCAAGGUCAUCCAUCUUCAGAUCAGGGUGCUGCUUCCCGAGGACGGCCAUGAUGCAACGAUAGGAAUGCCGAAAUCCCUGGUCGUACUGGUUGUCGGCCUCCCUCUCCAAGUUCUCGACCUGAGCUCGAUGGGAAUCGCGGAGAGAUUCGAGCUGAGCCUCAUACAUAACCUUCUGCCUUUGCAGAUCCUCCUUGACCUUAGUCAGCUCCUCCUCGAGGGUAAUGGCUUUUGCUUGAGCAAGAGAUUCUUGCUCUGUCAGCUUGAGAUUCUCAACAUUCAGCUCCCCUGCUUUCUUCUCGGCAACGUCAGCUCUGGUCGUCGCCGAUUGAAUAUCUUCCUUCAUCUUCCGGUCGUAGCGGCCAACCUUAACCUUGUAAUAGGUGGUCAUGCAGCUGAGGUGGAAAGCGCUAUACUGCAUGGUCCCCACCAGCUCCCCCAAGGUGCAGCCAUCAAAGUCCUCCAGGUCCUUCUUGCUCACAAGUUUAGAUAACUCAUUAAGAUAGAGGACCAAGUGUUCUGCCCCGCUGUCAGGUAAGCGAGAUCGGGGCCUGACAGAAGGAGAAGAGGAAGCAGGAUCCGUGGCUGCUCCACUAGUUUCCCCGACUUUGGCAGGAGCAGGAGGUAAAGUCUUCAAGGGAGAGACUUGCUGCACGAUGUUGGCCCGCUUUGCAGAAGGGGCGUCCUUAUUGUGGUCCCUCUUCAUGGUUUGAGGUUGAGAACGUUUCCUGUUUAGAGCCCCAAUCACAGCGUCCUCCAUCUUAUGGCCAGGGAGUACCAAGCGAGACUCGAGCAAGUUGUAAAUAGUUAUCAGCUCUCGACUCGGGCAGGAGUUGGCUAGUACAGCCUCGACCCGUUUGAGCUGAUCAGGUUGGAGCGGGAAGUGAACACCCCAAGAACCUGCAACACAAACAAACAUUUGAUUAGAGACAAACCAGUAAAGUGCAAACAACUAGGUAGACAAGACAUCUAAUACGAGCAGGCAACCUGGGACCACGAAACGGGGUGGGACGCGGAAGUCCUGCCCAUCAACCUGUGCAACUUGACCCCAGGGACCCCCUGCGAAAAAGAACUUCUUCUUCCAAUUCCCACCACCACCAGUAGGAAGAUUGGUUAUGGGUUUCCUGGUCUUGGAACUUGAUUGGAAGUAAUACCAGCUGGCGUCUUUGGGGCUGCUUUUCAGCUGGUACAAGUGCUUCAUCUCAUCGACCGUGGGCUCGCUUUGGCAACAUCUGUCCCACAGUAUGAACAGACCAGAGAGCACUCUCCACCCGUUGGGGUUCAGCUGACCAGGAGCUAGGUUUAGCCCGUUAAGAAUCCGGGCAAAGUAGGGUUGCAAGGGACACCUCAGCCCGUGCCUAAAACUCUCCAAAAAUAAGGUAACAUAUCCCCUAGGAGGCCUGCUAGGGGUAUCCUUCUUUCCUGGGACCUUAAGAAGUAUUUCACCAGGAAUGCUAUACCUAAGCCGGAGGUCAGCGAGCUCGUCAAACGUGGUCGUGCACGUCAUAUAAUCAAUAGCGUAGUCCCGCGAUAGGGCUCUACCUCCUACUGUACUCCGCCCUUCUGGUGGCAACGCUCCUGAUGGGGACACCUCACCAGAAUCAUCUCCUCGACCCUCACUCAGGGUGUUCUCCGAGCCAGAAGACUCCUCUUCAUCGUUAUUUCCGCUCGAGGAGGUUGUUUGGGGGGACAUCCUCCUAGCGCUAGUGCCAACACUAGAUCUAAUGGGCUCUAAGGGGAUCCCGAGGUCAAAAGAAGGAUCGGUUAGCAGACUAGGCAGGAAGUCCAACUCCUCCUCGUUAACCUCAAGGACCUUCUCUUUGCCUUUCGACAUUCCCUAAGCUCUAACCACAACACCACCACCAACUACUACCCAAACAAAAGAGAAGAGAAAUUAUCUACAACUAUCCGAGACCAAGGAGAUAGAAGAAAUACCUGAAGUAAUGGUUUAGUCGGUGAAAGACAGAGAUGGAGGACUUUAUGCCGGAACUUUUUUGCCGGAGAGACAGAGACGGAGACAGAGUGAAUGAUGAAUUUUCCGUUCGAGAGGAUUUGGGUUUCCUAAUAGGGACUGACUCUUGGGUUGCCAUCAUUUAACGGCACCAAAUCCCAAGGGCCUCGUAACCGUUGGUUUGAAAUUCGAAUAGAGGGGCAGAUUUCUGCCACAUCACCUCGUCCGCAAUUAAAUGUAACAUGACUCUUGGCAGCCUUUUCCAAUCCCACGCGAGCAAGUACUGUCAAGUUUCUACUGCUGGUCCACAACAUUACCCAACACCAGAAACUGGGGGACCGAUGUUUGGGAGAAAUACGUCGACGAGACCAAGCAUGAUGAGCAUAUAUCUGAUGGUAGAGUUCUGCGAACCGGUGUGUCCCGUAAGAGCCUGGUAUCCGGGGGAGCAGGAGCAGGAAUAUCCUGCUCAUCCACGAGCACGUCAUCCGCGAGGCCAAUUUCCUGUAAGAAGCAUAAAGCCAUUUCUGCUGUAUUCCUGUUAAGUGUUGAUUCGAGGAGACCCGGUCAAUGACGAUUGGCGAGGCAUGCUCUCCAAUCCGAGAAUCUAGGCACGAUGGCCACGCAACCACCCACAACUACGGAAAUGGGGAGUCCACGUUCGAGAGGUGGGAGGAUAACGAGCGCGAAUGGAGGGGAGACCCGAGCUCAGAAGUAGCCUAUAAAAAAGUAGCCAACAAAGGUAAAAAGGUUAGCAAUUUUGAGAUUAUAACAGAGAUUAAGGAAAUUCUAAAGAAGAGAAAACUACCAAAAAGUCAUAAGAUCUGUGGCAACCGUUCCCAGAGCCUUCAUAUCUGACUUGAGCGUCGGAGGGUUUACGCCGGGAAAACAACCGGCGUGCUCUGACUUGUUUCUGUGGACGCAGGAAUACUUGGAGAAGAAAGCAUACGAGGAGAGAUCCUGGUCGAGGUGAGGUUGAUCGAGCAGAUAUCCUGGUGGUAGGAAGAGCGUAACCAGAAUCUCGAAUCAACAGAUUAUUUGAAAUAAAUUACAAAAGUGUGUAGUUUGUUGUCGGGUAAAUUAUUUUAUUUGUUUUCAGCCCGAGAUAUAUUAACUGAGCACUUAAAAAUUAAGGGAAAAAAAAAAGAAUAUUAUGGAUUAAACGAACUUGGAAAGAAGCUACACUUAUAUAAUAUCCAUCCUUAAAAAAUAAUAAACAAACAAAUUAUAAAGCCUGGAAAGAUUUGACUCCAAAAGACAAAAGUAAUCUACCUCAAUCUUUGGAAAAUUUUGAUACAGGUUCUAAAUUUUCCACAAGAUACCCUAAAAUGUAAUUCUCAAACAAUUGUUGUCGGUGGUUUCUAGCUCGUUCUAAACGUUUAGAUUUUGUUAGAACUUGUAUAAGGACAAUGACUUAGAGUCAUGAGGAGAAGACCAUUUAUUUAUACAUGAAAUUAUGGAUUAAUAAAAGUCUGUGCCGCUCCAAAACCAAUUUUUAUUGAUUAUUUGAUUAUUUUUAUUGCCCGAAUGACACAAAAUACAAAUUUAUAGGGUACAAAAUAACCGGAACAAAAGUUUAAAAAAAAAAUUAUAGUACCACUUAUUUUACAAGGGUAAUUCAAUCUAUUUGAUAGAUGAUUGAUACAAAUUGUAAACUUAAGGUGAAAAUUUAAACAAAUUUAAGUUUUCAAAGUUUUUAUUUUUAUAAGGUAAACUUAAGGUGGAUAAUUAAUAAUUUUCCUUUUAUUAUUAAUCCAAAUCUUCCAUUUUAACUGGCCAAGAAAAGUUAUUUGGAAGUUACUCUAGCAGGCCCUGGGGCUGCUUGUAGAUUUGUGAUUGCUAAUCACUAAUAAAAAGAAAAAAUAACCAAAAAAAAAAUUAUUGAGGAUAAUCAAAUAUGUAGAUUUACACAAAUCAAAAUCCCACAAAAGUCUAAAGGCCCGAGAAGACUUUGACUCACUAUUGUGAUUGAAAAACGUGUGUGGUGCAAUUAUAUUGCAUUCAUAUUCCAUAACGUCUCUUUUAAAUAGCUAGCUUCCUGGCUGGCUACAGGAACUCACAAAUACAAUUCUCUCUUUUUUUAAUGGAAGCUACAUUCUAUGAUUACUUUGCCUCAUAUAAAUCCUCCACUUUCUUUUUUUUCCCGUUCAGAACUUGCCUACACCAUGGUUAUGACAGAAAAAUGUGAUGUUUAUAGCUUUGGAGUAGUGACACUUGAAGUAUUAAUGGGAAAGCAUCCAAGGGACCUUCAUUCGACAUUAUCAUCAUCAUAUGAUCCAAAAAUCAUGCUGAUUGAUGUUUUAGACCAACGUCUUCCACCUCCAGUUGAUCGAAAGGUUAUUCAAGAUAUCCUUCUUGUUUCAACAAUUUCAUUUGCAUGCUUGCAAUCGAACCCAAAGUCUCGACCUACAAUGCAGUCCGUAUCUCAAGAAUUUCUCAUCACUCGCAAGACUCCAUCGGUAAAGCAUGCUGCUAUUCAAGAUAUUUCCAUCUCACAACUUAGAAACUAAUAGAGGAUGUAUUUGAUUGAUCAAUAUGAUUGCUAAUCUUAAAUGUAUUUCAUUGAUAGUAUUUUGUAAAACUUUGGUGAGGGUGAAUUUUGGUUUCAUGAAACCGUUACCUUUCUUGAUUAAAAAUGAAAGUAACGCUUCUAAAGUGAAGUUGGUGCUUCCAAUCUAAACGAUUACAUCUUUAAUUAUUUUUUCUGUGCGAAUUGCAUGUGCAAAUAAGGUCAGCAAGUUUUGCUACUGUGUUAGGAAAUCUUCUUCCACUCACGUUGUUUUUAUAAAUUAAUAUCGUUUGCAAUAUCUGCCUCUCGUUUUUAAUAUUAUAUAUGACACAAUAAUUAUGGUAUUAACCAUAUAGGUUCUCAAUAAUAUUUAAAUAAAAAAUAUUAAAUGGGUGAAAAUUAAAACAAAAUCUAAUUUAAAGAUAUGUUAAUCAUGCUUUUAUCAAUCGUGUGCUAAAUUAGUGUUUUAGUUUGGUCGAACUUGUGCCGCCCAAAUUUUUCGCGAUAAAAAACACGAUAAACAAUUCAACCUAAAGUCCUAAACUACUACAACAGGGUCUUUGUAAAAUAUAUUAUCACUUAUGCCCCUUCAUUUAAAUUUUUGUAAACAUUAGGAACCUUCGUGCUAUUAUCUCAAAAUAAAUCAGGUUCUUCAAGCCCAUAAAUACCAAGUGUCAUUCACACUCUACUCAUAUUACAAAACCAAAACAAGAUAUAAUUCGGGGGGGGAAAAAAAAAUCAUAUCACAAAAUCAAAGUCUCUCACACUCUUAAGUUCUAAUACAGAGAUGGCGCAAGUUAGUAUUUGCAGAGCUGUGGCUUUGAUUCUCUUCAUUGCAGCGCUUCUCUCAAUGACAGCUGUCGUCAGUGCACAGGAUGUCGACCUGGCGCCGUCGCCGAGCAUGGACGCCGGAGCUGCGUUCCCGGUGACUGUUUCCGCUGGCUUUGUUUGCUCCUUACUCUUCUUCUCAGUCAUUACUCUACUAUUGCAGUAAUAGGUUCUUGAGAGACUUGAGAGACUCAGAUUUUAUAUUUUAUUAUUAUUAUUAGGAUAUUUAUUACUUUUGAAAUUUUUGGGUAUUUUUUUAAUUGCUAUUUGGUGGGAGUGCCGAGUGCAUGUGUUUGAGUUGCUGUGAGUGAGAAUAUUAGUUUUAAUAAUUCGAUUAUUUUUCCUCUAAUCUUUGGUUAGGGUUGUAUUUUCUUUUUAAUUUUUUACGGUCUUGAUAUUAUAUUUUAUUUUAAUUAUAAAAAUUGGAAUUAUUAUUUAUCAUUUUGCAUCUCUCUUUAAGUAUAUUUAUCAGUUGGCUA